rnacentral:lncRNA from 1 species
GGGCCUGAUCUCGGCGGCGAUAGCGCACGCCUUCGCGCUCUUCGUGGCCGUCUCGGUCGGCGCCAACAUCUCCGGCGGGCACGUGAACCCGGCGGUGACCUUCGGCGCCUUCCUGGGCGGCAACAUCACGCUCUUCCGCGGCCUCCUCUACUGGGUCGCGCAGCUGCUGGGCUCGACCGCGGCGUGCUUCCUGCUCCGCUUCUCCACGGGCGGGCUCCCCACGGGCACCUUCGGCCUGACCGGAGUCUCCGUGUGGGAGGCGCUGGUGCUGGAGAUCGUCAUGACCUUCGGCCUCGUCUACACCGUGUACGCCACCGCCGUCGACCCCAAGAAGGGCAGCAUCGGCACCAUCGCGCCGCUCGCGAUUGGGUUCAUUGUGGGAGCCAACAUCCUUGUUGGUGGCGCGUUUGAUGGCGCUUCCAUGAACCCGGCUGUUUCCUUUGGCCCGGCGUUGGUUAGCUGGGAAUGGGGGUACCAGUGGGUGUACUGGGUUGGCCCCCUCAUCGGCGGUGGCCUUGCUGGGGUGAUUUACGAGGUGCUCUUCAUCUCCCACACCCAUGAGCAGCUCCCCACCACCGACUACUAAGCAGAUCGAUGCAAGCUGCUUCUGCUUCCGAGUUCGUUCGGCCGGCGUCAAUGCCCUCCGUUUCGUCGUCUCAUCGUUUAGUUUCGUGAACCCAUGUCCGACUGCUGCUGCUUCGCGGCCAGCGUCGUUUGCUUUGAAUUGAAUCCUUCCGUCGGUCGGUCGGUCGGUCAGUCUGUAUGUGCCCCCGUGCUGUAAAACCAUGCAUAAUCUCCGGGAACCCCGUUAAUUUGCUUAUGUGAAAACCGUGCAUCGAUCUGUCUCUUAAUGAGUUUCUUUUCCAGUGAUAUCCACCCAAUAUGUGCGUGCAUCUGUAAUGAACACCUUGAAUUCUGAAUCUCAUCAGUCAUCAGCGCGCGUGUCAGAAAGGAAGGCCCCAUCGAUCCUGUCUCAUCAGAGAUGGGGGUCUCUCAAUAAUGAACUGUCACGCAUGUGGCGACUAGACGGUACGGUACGACGCCACGUCGGAAUGGGCGCCGGGGGCGAUAAGGCUGACCUGUUCUUGUCGGAGCUCAGCCCCGUCGUGUGCUGCACGGAUCGAUCAACAGCUCCCUAGAGGGAUUGUGGAACAUUAUUGCUGCUUAAUUAAAUUUCAGCUCCUACUCCUUUCCUGCCGAAUAUACCUCUCUCCGGGUUCCUACAAAAGCAAGUGUACGUACGGUACUGGAGCCGUUGUUGGUGUCGCUGGCGCAAUCAGGGCUCGUGCUUCUUCUGCCAGCCUGACCACCACUAACUCUGGCACGGGACUGAAGACAAGCAGCAAGCUAUUUUGGAGGCCACAUCACCCUUGAUAGUUUUAUCGUCUUCUUCGAUAUGUUUUCUCUCCCACGGAAGUCCUAACUACCGGUCGAUGUGUCCUUACCGAAAGGGAGUGCGCAUUAAUAAUCAUCAUUAGCUUAAACUGCUCAAGAGAAUUAAGGGCUGUGAUGUAUGACAUGUGGCUAGCUAGCUUAAUAUUCUAGUCAACCGAUCUGUCUUUUGCGUUUAUGCGGCAUUGUGCCAUUGAGUUUAGCUAGCUCAAAUGCAACUUGGCGCGCACUAUGUGUGCCAGCACAUGCAAGUACUAUACAUAUCAACGAUUUUAUUAAGUUAAGUAAAACAUGUUGAACAUGUCAAUUUAUUUGCCACACUUUUUCCCUUUGCAUGGUGAUGCGGUGCCUGUAAUUCAGGGUUUAGCUAGGCAUUCAAACAGAGCGUCAGUCUGAACUGGAAUUGCCAAUUCGUCGGAAUCUUCGGCAGAAUAAUGAUUUUGUCAGCGUUUACGCUAGCCUCCUGACCAAUUAAAACCCAAAGGCGGCUCUCUCAUCUUUGGAUAUACCAAGUUCCAGGACCACACCAAUCAUCGCUAGCUUAUGUAACUUAGCAUUAUCCUGUCAGCUCAUCUGACUUGAUUAUGACACCAGAACUGUCUUUAGUGCUAGUUAAAUAGCUAUAGCUAAUUAAUCGAGUUGUCAUUAAGAACAGAUUUUCUAUACAUAUAUAUGCUGUUCUGUUCAACCUUCAUAAUCAGUCCUGUUCCUAAUCACCACUUAAUCAAAUACUGUUUGUGCAUACGUCCCUUUUCAGCUGCACCGGCCAGAGAUCAGCACGUCACAAAGUGUCGCUAUUCCAGCAAUGAAUACUGACGAGGGCCGGGAGGAAGAGGGUGGGGAGGUUAAGAAGAGAGAUGCGGGAGUGAUGUCCGGAAACCCCUGAGACCCGUUGGGGCGCUCCAAUGGGCGAUUCUGGGCCAUCUCGCCGGAAAGUGACUGUGAGAGUGAUGGGGAGUCGUCGGAAAGUGACUCAUCAUCGAUUGCUUCUGGAUCUACGUCGUGGGAACAUUGUCUCACGCCGGAAUCAGCCAGAUCCAUCGCUUUGAAGGAAAAGAGUUCUGAUCUUUCUAGGCGGGAAGCGAAGAGGAGGAGGAAGCGGUUCCAGAUGCAGACGCGGAUGCAGGUGAGGUCUGAGAUUGAUCUCAAUUCUCUUAUUUGCAGUAAAUCAACGUCUGGAUCCGGAGCUUCGCCAGCGCGUGCGUCUGUAAAGCCGCGGGAGGCGGUCCUGUCACCUUCUUCUUUCUUGUUGGAGAACUUCAAUGCGGAGGAGUGGGUUCUUGUAAGGCGGCGGCGGCGGCGUGCAUCCAUCUCGGCGGCAUCUUCCACGUCGAAGGUAAAUUUCUCUCGUCGUUGCAACGAUCCCCGUCAGUCGAUGAUGAGUUUGAAUCUCAAAUCGUACGGUCAAGUGGGCCCCGCAACUUCUGCGUUGCAUGCGAGCCCAGUUACGAUUCUGCAGGGCCAUACGGGCCCGGGAUCCGUAGCCCAAUCCAGGUCGAAUCGGAUUGAUUCGGCUGGCCGAUCCCUGCGUUGCCUGUUAGGUUACGGGUGGCGUACGGAUCAAUCUCGUGCUCCGAUAAUUCCGUCUCUUGUUGCUUCCGGAACCAUGGCGAACCUUGGUGGAGGUAGGGGAGGCGGCUUUGAUCCUGGUGUUGUUGGUGAUGGCCACGGCUAUCCUGCUCAGGCGCAUGGAUCUGGCGGUGGUGCGGGCCGCGGUGGCGCUCCUCCUCAGGCGCAUGGAUAUGGCGGUGGUGCUCCUGCUAUGGCGUUUGGCCGAGGUCAGGGACAGGGUUCUGGUGCUGCGCCUGAUCGGGGUUCUGGUUAUGGCAGUGGCGGCGAGGCUCAUGGCGGUGGCUAUGGCGACUUCCACCCUGGUCGUUGGGCUGCUGGUCACUAUGGUGGUGGUGGUCGGUAUGGCGGCGGUGGAUAUCGUCGGCGGUAUGAGUUCCGGGCGGGUCGUGGAGACUACCGUGGUGGUCGAGGGGCUUACAAUGGUAAUGCUCGUGGUUGUGGUGCUUACGCAGGUGGUGGUCGUGGCUCAGGUGGCCGAAACAUCCCCUAUUCUUAUUCGGCAGACGAGUCGUCAGCACGUGGUGGUGCUGCUGGAGGCGCCCAAAUGUCUGCUACGUCGGUUGCGACGGUUGUUGCUAGUGCAGGAGGGCAUCCGCAUCUGGCGGAGCCUCAGGCGGCGCAGGAGAUGCCCGUGGUUCAGGCUCAAGUGACGGCUGCUCUGCCAGCAGCUUCAGCAGGUCUGGAUGCUGCUGAUGUUCCCUCUGCCGUGGUGCAACAGCGAGCUCAAGAGAAAGCACCUGAUUUUAUCCCGUUGGAGCCGGUCAUUGUGAAUGUGGCUGGCAGUUCAUCAGGGUCAAACAAUGCGGCUGCUGUUGCUACUAAAACUGGGAAGAGAAAAGAUAAGGUAAAAUGUUUCCGAUGUGGGUUCACAGGCCACAUUUCUUUUGAUUGUACUACGGUGUUGUGCGAUUAUUGUGAAUCCGCGGAGCAUGUGUCUUCUGUGUACCCUCUUUUACUUGCUCCAAAACCACAAGUGGUGAUGCAUGGGGUAUGCUGAUGAGGAGCUUAUGUUCUUUGACAUGCCACUCACAGGUUCGUAUCGGCCUAAGUAUGAGAACACUCGUUUGGGCAUGGUGACGGUGGAGGGGGGCAGUUUGUCUGUUUCUCAGCUUGUUUCACUGCUCCGGUUGUUUGUCCCGUCUGAUAAUUUUGAGUGGGAGGUGAGUUCGUCCGAGGAUAAUGUUUUCAAGGUGCAAUUUCCUUCCAAGCUUGAGUUGCAGCAGAUGAUCAGAUUUGGCAAAUUUAAUGUUCCUACGAGUGAAUGUAGGAUCACUUUUGAUGAGUGGUCUCCUAAGCUGAAUCCUAAUUGGCUUGUUCAAGAUGUGUGGGUGCGAAUCGCUGGUAUUCCCCCAGCUGUGAAGGGGUCCUUCUUAGCUCUCUGGGGACUGGGUUCACCGCUUGGUAAGACCAAGGAGGUUGACAUGGCAUUUACAUGUCAGCACGGGGUAUUGCGUAUUUUCAUUGGGUGGGUUGAUUAUACAUGUAUACCAGAGCGAAAGGAUCUGCUCAUCAAGGAUGGCCUCUACAGGCUUACUUUCCAGGUGGAAGGACCACCAAGGGAGGAGGGGCUUGGUGAUGAAGUUAUGCAUGAUGCUAAUGAGGGUGACGAUGAGGGGGAUAAGAAAAAGGAUGCUUCAGAGAAGUCCGAUCUGGAUGAUCGUGGUGGUAAGCGUGGCAAAAAUGUGGAUGGCGACACCUCUACUUCUUCGUCGGUUGGAGGGAGUGGUGGUGCAGCGGCACCCACUUCUUCUUCUCCGACCGAUGGGUCCAAUGUGGUGAUGAUUCGUAUUGGCUCUGUGGAGACACCGGUUCCUAUGUCCAGGGUCCCGCUUGUAUCUGUUUCAGCUCCGAUGUCUUAUAGUAAGAUUGCAGCUCCUCGUCGUCUGUGGGCUGACCUUGUGGAGGAGGAAUUGCCGUGUUUUGGGUCUGCUCCGCCUCGUGUUGACAGGUCGAGAUACGAAGGUGGACGGCCUAUGGGCAGCGUGGUGUCAAGGUCGAUCGUCGCUGCGCCUUCUCAUGUGGAUUCUGUGGCCGGUGAUAUGGUUGCGCCUGCUAGGCAUAGUGCUACCAUGAAGCAGCUUUGCUCUGUGGUUGCUUCCGAUGUGCGAUCCGGGCACGAGCAGGGGGCGCUGCUCCCUACUAGUGAGGUGGAGCCCCAAGAAGGGCAGCGUGAUGUGGAGUAGGUGGCUUCACCGCCGUCUGACCUUUCUCCGUCCCCAUGGCAGGUGGCUGGGGGGUCACGAAAUCGCUCGUUGCCGUCGUCGUUGCAGACCGCUUCUUCGACCCGUGUGCCAGGAGGGCGUGCGGGGGCGAAGAGCUCGUCGGCGCGGACCUCUUCUUCGACCCGUGUGCCAGGAAGGGGUGUGGGGGCGGAGAGCUCGUCGGCGCGGACCUCUAAUAUGCCGAUGAUACUAUUAUUUUCAUGGAGCACGACUUAGAGAAAGCCGUUAAUAUGAAACUAAUUCUCUGUAUUUUUGAACAACUUUCGGGACUGAAGAUUAAUUUUCAUAAAAGUGAGCUCUUUUGUUUUGGUCAAGCGAAAGAUGAAGAACAUCAGUAUAAGCGUCUCUUUGGAUGCGAGUCUGGGUCUUUGCCUUUUAAAUACUUGGGUAUCCCUAUUCAUUAUAGAAAACUUCUUAACAAAGAAUGGAAGGCUGUUGAGGACCGCUUUGAAAAAAAAUUGGGAUGUUGGCAAGCCAAGUUACUCUCAUAUGGAGAUCGCUUUGUGCUUAUUAACUCUGUUCUCACAAGUAUGCCAAUGUUUAUGUUGUCCUUCCUUGAAAUACCUAAAGGGGUACGGAAGCGUCUUGAUUUUUAUAGAUCCAGAUUUUUUUGGCAAAGUGAUGAGCAUAAACGAAAAUAUCGUUUAACAAAGUGGAAUAUUAUUUGUCAUCCUAAAUAACAAGGGGGGUUGGGGAUUGAGCUUUUGGAUACUAAAAAUGUGUGUUUACUCAGCAAAUGGCUGUUUAAGCUUCUUAAUGAGCAGGGUAUGUGGCAAGAGUUGCUACAUAAUAAAUAUCUUCAUUCUAAAGCUCUUUCUCAAGUUCAGGCUAUGGCCACAGACUCCCCAUUCUGGAAAGGACUUAUGUGAGUUAAGACGGCCUUUUUUAAUCGAGGUUCUUUUAUUGUUGGGAAUGGAAUGAGCACUCGGUUUUGGGAAGAUACUUGGCUAGGUGAUACACCUCUUGCCCAUCAAUAUCCAUCAUUAUAUAAUAUUGUGCAACGAAAAAGUGUUUUGGUUGCGACUGUUCUGUCAUCUGUUCCUCUGAAUAUUGGCUUUAGACGUACACUGACAGGGAAUAAAUGGACAUCUUGGUUACAUUUAGUCCACCGUUUAAUAAUGGUUCGCUUUUCUGCUGAUUCAGAUUCUUUUUCCUGGAAACUUAAUUCAACUGGAGUAUUCACGGUUAAGUCUAUGUACAGAGAGUUGAUGGAUGGGCAUACUGUUUUUCCUCAAAAUUAUUUAUGGAAGAUUAAAAUACCUUUGAAAAUCAAGAUUUUUAUGUGGUUUCUUUAUAGAAAAGUGCCGCUGACAAAAGACAAUCUUACUAAGCGUAAUUGGAUGUGUGUAAACAAUGUUGUUUUUGCGGAUUAGAAGAGACUAUCCAUCACUUGUUUAUAACAUGUCCAUAUGCUCGUCUUGUGUGGCGAAUUGUUCAUAUAUCUUUUAAUUUGUCACUCCCAACCAAUGUCACAGAUAUGUUUGGGAAUUGGUUGAACGGUGUUGAUAAAAAACUAAAGCUCAAAUUCGGGUGGGAGUUUCUGUCUUUUGUUGGGCUAUUUGGAACUGCCGAAAUGAUAUUGUUUUUAACAAGACUAGAGUGGUUAUUUUUUUUCAGGUAAUCUACAGAGCCACUCACUGGAUCCGUUUGUGGUCUUAUCUACUCCCUGUGGACCAACGGGAGCUUUUGGAUACUGGGUGCAACCGUCUGGAGAUGGUUACUCGGGAUAUCUUCAGCCGGGGUGGAUGGCGGUCCACUGGUAGAAUUCUAACUACAUGAUGUAUAGGCAUUAUUUGUAUCUUUUAUUUCGCUGGCUGAUUUUUGUGUCAACCUUGUGUGAUGCAUAAACUGUAUUUUUAGUUGUGUGUAUCGAUUGAUGCAGAAGCCGGGUCUUUUCCCCCUUUUCGAAAAAAAAAAUUGAAUCUCUCUCGAUGUCGCCAGUGAUCCCGUGACGUGGAACCGAGAUUAUCCCCGCCCGAGGGCCGUCCUCUCGAGGAGAGCUUUCAGUUGACGGUACGAAAGAUGGAGAUCGCAACCGAACCGAAGGCGGAGAAGGCCCGGCCACUGAAUCUCUCCAAUGCCACUGGAUAAGUUGAUAACGCUUCACGACUGCCGCGGAAUUCACAAGAGCGCACGUGUUUCGACGAAGCGUUCUCUCAAGCACUCGACUAUAUACAGUUUUGGAAGAAUUCCAGCGACCAAUUCUGUCACGCAUCAAGGGGAAACCAGAUUGAGUUUACAGAAAAAUAAGUAAAGGAAAUGGACACAGAUUUAGUUGUCGAAGAAAAUAUUGACGGCAUGACACAGCUCACGAAGACUUAGUUAGGCUGAUUUAGUUUGUCAGAUAAGCGAAGUAAUUGAGCAGUCACAUCCGCAUCGGUUGAGCUGAUUCGGCGGUGAUUUUGGCCGGUUCUCGUGACUGUAACUGUUAGUUCCUUGUAUACCUUCGUAUAUAUUCCAUGGCGGAACAAUAGUUGCUAUCAGAUCGACCGAUCGACCGGGCCAACAUAGACGAAUUAUACGCUCGAUCGCGACCUCGCGUGCCUUUCAAAACAUAACACUAGUACUCCUACAUAAUAGUAACCCCUAAUAAAGUGGCCCAGUGUAAAUAGCCAUCCUUUGUCUGUGUCUCGAAAAGAACUCUUGUCAUGUGAUCACAUAUGUAUACACAACGGCAUGGCUGUGAGCCAGAGCCCACAGGCAGGCACGUGCCGUUCCCGAUUAUCGCUUCCCUGAAACAAGUUCACCUUGCAACGAAGUUGAUUUACAGGUUGCAUGCGUUGAGUGAGUCCAUGCUGAAGCUGUGUCAUCGGAUACCGUCGUCCACGAUGUCGAUCGUGCAGCGAAAGGAUGGGGCCUUGGGGGCUUGCUCCGCUGGCUGGAUCAGCAGUGAGUGACUGAGUGGACCGGAUCCCGAGCAUGGGCCCAUUUCAUGCAUCUGAGUGCGGAAACGGGGGACAAACUCACGGACCAGGCCGCGUGGCCCGUGGGCACCACCGCUGUCUCUCCCUGCCCUGCCCGAUUAGAUCAAUCAGCGUGGCCCGCCAAACAAAAAUGCCGUCGUGAAUUCGCUGCCUACCCCGGAAUUUCUGAUCUUUUUUGCCAUCGCGCAAUGCACAUGCAUGAAUGUAUCCAAACCUUUUCCCUUUUUCGGCGAAGAAGUAUCCAAACCUUUCCACGUGCUUCCGUUCUUCGAAUGGGAUAGCCUGCUGGCCCAAACCUGCUAACUUCGUUUCUUGGCCAAAUAUGGCACUCAUCGUUCCCUCUCGGGCGGGCAAUGCAGCAUUGCAGCCAUGGUUUCAUGGACGGUCGUACGUAACUAAGAUCAAAAAACAUAUGCGUGGUAGACAAGUUCAGGAUCUCAUGUGAAAUGAUUAAGUAGCGUGUGCGACCCCUGAUUUCUUCAACGAACAAUUUUAUGCCGUGUUAAACUUCGGUCGUGCAUGGGCUCGGUGCGAAGUGGAGAACACAUAUAUUGUUCUGUUGCUGCCUUUCUAUGAGUCCUGAUGAUUGAUCCGUCAAAGCGAGCGACUCAGGAUCGUCCUAUUACCGUGUCCUUCCAUGCAUGGAAAAGGAAAAGACACUAGCAGCCUGCACGCAUCACGUGCAUCCUCCCCCUGGGAACCCAUCAAGGUCCUUUGUCUCGUCCUUGUUCUCUGCUCACAAGCUGGUUACCGCGCGCACAAACGAAAGUCGAGGUGCUUCACCCUCCACGGGCAAGUACAUGAACACGUAUACACUUUAACAGGCUAGCUUUGACAAGAGAGGGAUUUCUAAUCCUCUAUCACUCGCGGGCUAUUUACUCGUCGAUCAACUGGGCAUGCGUUAGUUCGACACUUCGACUGAAGCACCAUGAGCAUGGUGGCGGAGAGCAAUGCAUUGGAUCAUUUCGAGCUUUAUCGAGGAGUUCAUGUACCGACAUAGCUAGGUGACGGUUCAGAGACAGGCUUUACCCAAACGGCAUGAUGACGUACUGAAUGAACAACACGUUUAGCAUGGUGCAUAUACUGUAAAAAGAAAAGAAACAACUUUAUUACGCGUAACAAAUAGGUUACACACUUUCAAUAAUCUUCAGGACACAUGUAUAUGUAGUUGCACGGAGUUAGCAUUAUUUCCGAUCAUAUAUAGAUACAAAUAUACGAUCACGUUACAUUGUUUAAUUAAGUAGUUGAUCACACGGAGUACAUCAGUUAGUGCUCUUCUCGAUCGAUGACUUGGAGCUUGACGCCAUGCUUGAAGUUGUUCACGAUGGAGAACUCGAGCUGCAGGGGAAACUCCAUGCCGGGGGAGUGCCUGAAGACGUAGCGGCGGUACAGGUGGAUAACCACGAGCUUGAGCUGCUGCAUGGCGAACUUCUGCCCGGGGCAACCCCGAGGGCCGAUGCCGAAGGGGAGGAACGCGUAGGGGUGCCUUCGCUUGCAUUCCUCGUCCUCCGGGUCGAACCGCUCGGGACGGAACGUGUACGGGUCGGGGAAAUGCUUCGGGUCUUUCGAUAGCUGCCCCGUCGCUAGCCACACCCACGUUCCCUGCGUGCGUGCAGGCACCAUUUUUGACUCGGUAAACUCAUAAAAAUGAAAAUUGAUGUGGCCGUACAUAUUCCAUUUUAGCCUUGACCACAUAAGGCAGCAGAUUGGCACGAACCUUUGGCAGGAGAUAGCCUCCGAUCUCGACGUCCUCGGUCGUUUCCCUCGAAACCAGCGGGGACGAAGAAUAGAACCUCAUCGUCUCCUUCAAAACCUAUUGGGGCAAAAGUUGUACAUGGAUGUUAACACAGGUUAUGAUCGAUACGUUUAAUCUUUUUUUUUAGGGAAUCGAUACGUUUAAUCUGAAGAUCGUGCAAACGACCGAGACGAACCUGCUCCAAGUAGGUGAACUUGGUGUUGAGUUCCUCGGCGUCAGGCACGAGGUCCUUGGGCCCAAACGCGUCGAUCUCACUUAGCAUCUUCUCCUCCACCUCCGGGUGCAUGGCGACCCGGUACGCGAGUCCCGAGAGCGUGAAGGACAUGGACCCGGACCCGGCGAGCAAGUGCUCGUAGGUGAGCGCGGAGACGUAGUCGGCCGUGAAGAGCUCCCUCAUGGCGUGGCUGCUCUCCCGGGCCUUGAGCAGCACGGACAGGAAGUUCUUCUUCUCCCCCUCGCUCUGGGCCUCCAUGGCGGCCCGCUCCGCCACGAUGGCGUCCACGAGCCCGCUAAGGGCCCGGUUGGUCUCGUCCAUCAGGCGGUCCGCCGAGCCCGGCACCCGCAGCAGCAGCUGCCGGGCCGGCUCCUGCAGCAGCGGCGCCACGGUUCCCAGCACCAUGGAGAGCGACCCAUUGAGGUCCGCCUUGAGCGACGUCAGCGCGUACAGGUGCUUCUCGAUGAAGUCGUCCGUGGCUGUUUUUUCGUUGUUGAUGGUGCUGUCGACAUUGUUGGCGUCGUCGGGUUUGGUGAGCCCGAAGUCGACGCCGAACGCGGCUUGCCCGAUGGUGUCGGAGAAGAGCUUGACGGCGAGGUCGGAGAAGGCGACCUCUUGGCCGGGGUGGAGGAGACGGGCGGCGCGGCGGAUGUAGGGAUGGACGGCCGGGAUGAGGCUUGCAAGGUGAGAUGGCUGGUAGAUGGCGAUGAUCACGUUCCGCAUCGACUGCCACCUCGAGCCCCUGCAAUUAAUUUGGUUUGCAUGCGUUUAAAACUAGCUCUAGCUAGCUCUAGCAGCUUAAUUAUGUCCAAGACGCGAUCUCCAUUGUAAGUUGGACGUACUUGGUGAAGAGGAGACUUUUGAAGUGGAUGGGCGAGCUACGGAUGGUGCUGGGCACGCUCCUGUCGACGACGCUCUUGAACUUCUUGAUGCCGGCCUCCCUGCACAGCUCUGCGUCCGCGAUCACCACCACCGGCUGUCGACCCAGGUAAAACCUGGACAGAACACACCGACCGCCAGCGUAUUAAGUGCAGAUCGAAAGCCUUAAACUACAACUGAUACAGGUUUGAUAUAUCUAAGUCGUUUAAUUUUUAGUUAGGACAAGUUGAUCUGUGAGAUGAAAAAUCAAGUAUAUACGUAGGAUAUAGCCACCCAAUUGAAAUUGAUCGGCCGGUGUGUGGAGUUACUAAUUAACAACUGACCUGUAGAUGGGCCCGUAUCUCCUUGCGAGGACGCCAAAGACCUCGGGGCCAUGCUUGGUGAAGAGCGGCAGGUGGCCGAUGAGCCCGUAGGCGAGAGGCCCGGGCACCCUGCGCAGGCGCCACGACGGCGCGUAGAAAUACACGGCGAAUGCGCCGGCCGCCAGUGCCGCCACGGUGAACAGAAUCGCUGCCAAUGGCGACUCCAUCUGACGGCUCCAGAGUACUCCCGCUCCGUCCAUCGUACGUCUGUCUUGCCGAGCUUAGCGAUCGAUGGGGAAGAGUCACCACUUAUAUACACAUGUUUUGCAUGGGUUGUCGUGUCGACGGAGACCAAGCUGUACGUAUACGGGGUAGGUAGGAGUAGUACGUACGUACGUACAAGAAAGAAAAAUAGAAUGGGUGUGGGACCCAAUACCUGUAGCUGCUGCUCACACGUGACUGGAAUAUGGGUAGUUCAAAAGUAUGGUUAUUGUGUUUUUUUUUGCGGUGAAAAGUGUGGUUAUUGUUGAUGAGACGAUGGAUGUAAAUGUAAUCUAAGACCGCAGGAGAGUAUAUAUGAUUGACCGGUCCUGGAUGACUCCAUGGCGUUGAGCCGUUGAAUAUGACUAGUGCACGUUAUUAUCGUGUUGUACGUAUGGUUUUGCACGUUGAGAAAACUGGCCAAUUUCGUGAGAUCCAAAUCCGAUCCACACGGUAAAGAGAAAAAGAAAAGAUCGAUAGUUCCACUCCUGAUUAAUUUACUGUCCAAACAACCACGAGGGGCUGCAUGCAUGACCGAAUCAAAGUAAAUUACCCACCACGUGGGUCGAUUGAUCAUCAUCGGACGUCUUUUGCACUGGAUCAGACAAAAUCAAGGAACGUUCCUUGUUAUUCUACAUGCAUGCGACCCGUACGUCCUCGAUCGCAUUCUGACUGGCGACUCCACCAAACCAUUUCUACGUUGCACGUAUACACCACGAUAUAUUCAAACGCACAGCUGGCUAAAAUCAAAGAACAUCGGCCAGUAGUUACUUCUUCUUUGGGGAAGUGCAACGAAGAAUUAAGAUCGACCAUUUGCAAGUUGCGUGCGUCCUGUACGACUCUAGCUAUCAAGGUCCCAUUGGAUACACAUACACUGUCUCGCGGAAGUCUCCUUCCGUGCGAAUUGAAAUGGCAGUGUUGGGGGCUGCACUGCACGCGUCAGAGCUUCACGCAACCCGGGCCACACGAGGCCGAUAUUCCUGACGUGCGUAGCCUCCCUAUUUCUUUCUACGUGCACACGGAGGCUAGACAAUUUUUCUCAAAAUAUUUGCAUAUCUGGAUCCACAAUUAGCAUAAUAAAUUAUUGUAUAAUUAACCAUGUAUAUUUUUUUUCUAGGAAAAAGACUUCAGUUUUGUCAUCCUACCAGGCGCCACCGUUUUUUUUUCUAUGGGUGUGGUUAUAUCUUAGUCGACUGAUUUUUAAUCAAAUGGCUUAAAUCUCGGUCGACGUAUCAUACCCGUUGGAUUACUAUAUAGAUAUCGUUUCACUCUCCAUUUUUCAUCAUUCGUCCCGAAUCUUAAAGCACAUACCAUAUUCAAUGGCUGAGAAAUCGAUAUCUCUAACUAAUAAUUAGUCGACUUAGAUAUAGCAAACCCGUUUUUCUAUAUCAUGUCCCCGUGAAAACAGAGAUGAGUUUUUAGCUCUAACUAGUCAACUCUCUUCUUCUUAAUAGGAUCGAGGCACUUGGACUUCAGUCAAAAUAAGGAAAAAUCCAAUGAAAUUAAAUGGGGACAUGUGAACCAAGCAAAUAUUAAUGAACAUUGAUGAUUGACCUAUAACCAUAGUAAGCAUACAUGUAUCAAAAUGGCCAUUCUUUGGAUAUAAUUAAUUAAAGGUUGAGUACUUAAAGUUUUCCUUUAAAAAACCAUGGCUCUACGCUCUAUAUAUUGUCUUCCCAAACAACAUACUGCUAGCAAGGAAUCAUACAAUUCUAAGUUAGGUUGAAGGAACUCAUUUCCUUGUGCCAAUGGGUCGUGGUUAUGUUGUCAUAUCAAUGUUACUUUGCUUUUUAUUCGCAUCUUGGUACCUCACUUUGGCUGAAUCAACGGAUUCAGGUGGUAAUCUGCAGAUGAAUGACAAGGUAAAAAAUCCACACAUGGAACUCUUUCUCACUUGUUUUUCUUUUAAUUCACUAGAUUCUCGUAUUUCACAUGUAUGUUACUAUACAUACAUGAAGCUUACAUAUGCCACAACAAUUAUUUUCUUUCGUAGAAAGCUACUAUUUUGGUACCAACCGGAGGUGCCAAAAAUCAGGAUGGAGAAAGAAAGAACAUUACUCUUUCAACAACCAAACCUAUCUGGUUCCCACGAAGAGCCAACAUUCUGGAUGAAGACAACACCAUUUCUCAUGUACUCUCUCUCUCUCUCUCUCUAAAUUUGGAUGCAAUUAUGUUUGCCCACUGCAAUUAAUUUCUCUGUUUGGUCCCUAAUUUGAUUUAUGUCUUGUUGUCACUAGUAUGCAAUGUGGCGCACAACAACAGGAAAACGUUAUGGUUUUCGAGCUGAAAUGAGUAUAUGGGGUUCACCAAAUCAACACUACUCUCAAGACUCCGGAUCAGCAAUACAAAUGUAUUGUGCAGAAGGAGAUCGCUACCGCUUAAUCGAAGCCGGAUUUCACGUACAAAUAGAUCAUCCAUGCAUUAUUUUGAUAAGCUCAAAUACUUUCAAAAAACGGUUAUCUUAAAUUUUGGCCUGGCCGGUUUGCAGGUUGCUCCCGCUUUGUACCAUAAUAGAGAUGUCCGCUUCUUUACAUAUUGGACGGUAAGUUUAAACUUUAAGUUAGUUUUCCUCCCGCAGUUUUCUAGUUUUUUUUACUAUUUAUCAGAUUAACUUUUGUCAUUGUUUCCCACAGUAAUACAUGUUAUUUUUUUAUCAUUGAUCAGAAGGACACCAAAUCAGCGGGUUGCUACAACUUGAAUUGCCCCGGAUUUGUUCCUGCGCCUGGAGCUGCACUGGUGCCUGGUCAAGCCAUUGCUCCUACGUCAACUUAUGAUGUACAAGACCGCUAUGUCAGGCUUAGCAUAAAUGAGGUAUCCUUUUAUCCUGACAGAGACACAUAUAUAUUUACCAAAUAUUGCAUUUGAAGAUACAUGGCUAAUGACAUGUUGCUAAUUUUUUAUAUGGAAAACCAUUAGAGCAUAUCCACUUUUAUUUAUUAGAUUUUUUAGUACUUCAAAUUGAAACAUUCAUGCGGAUAUAUGUAAGAAUCUGGCUUGACUAAAUGAAUAACCAUGGGAAGCUCUUGUUCAAAAUCCACGAUGAUUUGUAUACAGAUUCAGCUAGAUUUUCUUGAUUUUUUUUAACAUAUGUUCCAAAUGCUCCAGGUAGACAAAACAAUGCUAAUUAAUUAUUGGAUGACUGAAUUCAACAAACAAGGAACAAACCUGGUUAUUUGUCAAGUUACUUAAUUAGAUGGAAGCUGAAUUAAUACAUUAUGUCAUGCUUAAGUACCAUGAAAUCAAAGAUAAGAAUCUAAAAUUGUUUUCACUAAAUAUUUUAAGCAAACUAUCUAGUUUAUUUAUUUUUCUUUCUUCAUGAAAAUUAAAAUUUAUAACCAUCACCCCUUGUCGAUUGUGUACAGGAUCCAAAAUCAGGAGAUUUGGUGUUGUACCGGCAUGACUUAGAGAGACCCUCGUUCUUGGGGCAUUUCCCACGUGAGCUUUGCCCUGGAACGUCACGAAUACAAGCAUUGACUGGAUUCGUGAAUUACCUACUGACUAUAAAGGGUCCUCCAAUGGGCAGCGGCCAUUUCCCCAGUAGAAAUCCUAAGAGAUCUGGAUACUUCAAGCAUAUCAAGAUUUAUGACUCCAAAGGUCGCGCUUGGGACCCACAUACAACCCCGAUUAAGAAAGUAGCUGACAAGUGGGACUGCUAUAACCAAACCAGUCUUUUUCUUCAGCGUGACAUGGGCUACGCGUUUUUCUACGGUGGGCCAAGUGGCUGUGUUAGUUGACAAUACAUGUUCUGUUUGCUUCAUGUGAUUCAAUAAAGCAUCAAUUAUAUAUGUUCCUUUUGAUGGACAUGCAGCCAUGUUUGUUUGUUUUCUUGCCAGGCUGCAUUUAGCAUAUGAUGGAUUGUCGCAAUUUCAUCUCAAGGUUUUAUAUCACUGGGAUUUCGAUAAAAAACUCAUUUGCUGGUCAAUCUGAAAAGGGACUCGCUUGGGCUCAGUCGACUGAGAACGAGUAGUUCUCAGUCGAUGGUAGUACUAGCUAGCAAUUGAUUGAUUUUUUAUAGCUAUUUCUACCCGAUUUUACUCACCCCGCUGGCUGCUUUUUUUUUUUUUUUAGUUUGUGUGUUCUCCUGACUUUGUAGGCUUGCUGGGACAUAGCCAAUACUAUAAAAUUCUCAUGCAACUAAAAUAAUCAUAAAACCAUUGUGCAAUUUAAAAACUGCAAUUUAAAUUUCUUGCAAAAGAGAAAAUUUAUAGCAGGAAAAAUUACAGACAAUUCUAAAAUUUGCACGUGAAAUUUUAUGCGAUAUUCUAAUUGCACGUGAAAUUUUCUGCACGAUUCUAAAAAUUGCACGUGAAGUUUUAUAAGCGAUUCUAAUUGCACUUGAAAUUUUGUGCACGAUUCUAAAAAUUGCACGUGAAAUUUUAUACGGAUUCUAAUUUCACGUGAAAUUUUGUGCACGAGUUUAAAAAUUGCAUGUGAAAUUUUGGGUGCAAUUCUAAAAUUGCACGUGAAAUUUUGUGCGCUAUUCUAAUAAAUUGAAGAAAGGAAAAACCGAAGAAUUAAAAUCUUACAUAAAUCUGCCAAGAUGAAGAUUUGAACCUUUCAUCUCUGUCUGGAAAACAAAAACACAUUAUCAGUGCAACAACAUGACUUUGUUGUCUAUAGAGGGACGCGGCCUUAUUUAUUCAAAAAAACUCUGCGCUGUCUUCCUGCACCACGAAUCUUUGAUGCCUGAUCCAACGUCUCACAAGCAUCGACUGAGAAAAGCUAAUUGUCAGGCGACUGCUCCCUAGCCAAUUCGAUCUGAAAAAUGGUAAAUCUUGAAAAGAUAACCAUCGUAUGACCAGUGGCAGAGCUAGGAAAGAAAUUAUUUAAGGAGGGGCCAGUCUUGAUUACCAGACAAUUUAGGUUGUAGUUUUGAUGCAUAAUUAGGAAAAACUAAAGUAUUCACAUGGUGCUAUUAAUCAAGAUGAUUACAAGAUUAAGGGUGGGCACAACCCUCUACUGUUAGCGCCAAGGAUCCAAGCCUGGGUGUCCGGGAAGAACUCCACCCAGGGCAGCUGCGUGACGGCGCAGUCGCCGAUGACCCCAACGGGGUACGUGAGGAGCUCGCACUCCGGUGCGUCGCCGCCGGCCUGUGCGCCUCUGCUCCUGUCGUGCGCCUACGCGCGCCGCUGCUGCCCCCGCCACGUGCCACCGCGGUUCCGUGACUUCCGUCCUCGACUCCGGCCAGUGCUUGGAAGGUUCUAUGAUGGCUCUAUGGGGUGACUUAAUGGUUUUCGCUUAGUUCUCUGCUAAAUAUUUGGAUAACUCUUGGAGGGGACUACACAGCGACGUGCCCGCCCACCGAUCUUUACCGUACGGCGGCCCCCUCCACGGUCAUGCGCUGCACGGGACCUGCUCGCCCACGGUGUGCAGCCAGGCCGGCCCAGCAGCGCGUUGGCCCAGCUACCCAUCCGCAGUGUGUUGGUCCAGUAGCACCUUGGCACAGCAUCAUUAGCUGAUCGCAGGAACGCAACGCAUCAUAGCUUAGCCUCAGAAGCACGUUAUUGGCUUGGCCUUCAGUCAAGCUCACUUUGGUUCUCUUCUUCUAAAAAUAGACAUAUUUUCAUCAUAUUAGAAAAAAGGAAAAAAAUGCUAUAGACGGCGUGCGCACCACAACCUGCUCGUAAGUCGCCGUGCAUUCGGCACGUUCUGGCCAACUCGCACUCUGUUGUCUUUAAGUGACUAGCUGGCGACGUUUGCAGCCUUGCGCUAACAUGCGGCGUCCACGUUAGGUGAACUAUAUAUACUUCUAUCAUCUGAGGAUAACAUCUUUUACUUGUUGAAACACUUCACUAUAUCACUUGUUUACAACCAGGUAAUAUAAUAGUCACUCGUUUACCAGGUUAACUCAUUUAUCAGUUUAAUAUUCUUUGUUUAUUAGAUUAUAGUCACCCGUUUACCAGAUUAACGAUCCUUGUUUAUCAGGUAUAGUCACCCGUUUAUCACGUUAAUAUUGCUUGUUUUUCAAGUUAUAAUCAAUCGUUUAUCAGGAUAAUAUCGCGUGUUUACCAUGUUAUAAUCACUCAUUUACCACGUUAAUAUUGCUUAUUUACCAGGUUAUAGUCACUCGUUUACUAGGAUAGUAUCGCGUGUUUACCACGCUAUAGUCACUCCUUUACCAGGUUAGUAUAUCGCUUGUUUACCAGGUUAUAAUCACACGUUUACCAGGAUAGUAUCGCAUGUUUACCACGUUAUAGUCACUCCUUUACCAUGUUAUUAUCGCUUGUUUAACAGGUUAUAGUCACUCGUUUACCAGGAUAGUAUCGCGUGUUUACCACGUUAUAGUCACUCCUUUACCAGGUUAAUAUCGCUUGUUUUACCAGGUUAUAGUCACUCGUUUAUCAGGUUAAUAUCGCUUGUUUACCAGGUUAUAGUCACUGAUUUACCAGGUUAAUAUAGCUUGUUUACCAACUUGAUUACACAUUUUCACGAGCCGCCGUCAUGAAGGCAAAAGAGAAGAAGCGAGCGGUGGGAAACAAGGAGAAGAUAUUCGUCUUCGUGUCCGGAGAUCUCAUCCACUUCCGUGUCUCCAUCGAGGUCGACAUCCAUCUCCUCUGAGUCAGGACCUGCUUCGUUCCGGACUGAAAAUCGAGUUCUGACAGUUUUGCGGGAUCUGUUCUGCCCACAGCCUGCAAAACCGAAAAUACGACCACCAAAAACAGAAAUCGACACUUCGUCAGUUCACAGUUCGAAAGUUUGACGGUUCACAAAAAAUUUGUGCAUAUCAUAACGCAUCACAUGAAAGUUCAAAUAAACCAAUCCAACGUUGUUGACUUCCGGUGGAGCAGAGGUAGCAUCGGCGGUGGCGGCAGCGCUCUCGGCAGCGGCGGAGGCUGCGGCUUCGGUAGCGGCGGCAACAGCGACCGCGGCAUCUCUAGCUUGGCGGCAACACGGCAUAAUGUGUUCCCUCUUCGUCUGCCACCACUGUCGGCUCAGUUCAUCAAGGCCGCUAGGAUCCGUCGUCAUAACUCUGUUCUCCUCUUCGCCGCUUUGGCCUCCUCAAUUGCAGUCCGCCGUGCAUCGAUCUUCGCGUUCCUCAAUUGCAGUCCUUGCCGUUGAGAAGCAAUGGCACUGGUGGGGCAUGGGCGACGGCAGGUGGCUGAAGAUAAGAAGCGAGGGGCGCGGCGCGGUACCUGCCGUUGAAGAGGGAAGAUCCCGACGAGGGCAGCUGUGCCGACGCUGCCCCAGAUGACCACCGUCGAGGAGAGCAGGGACCAGUUACGUAAGAUCAUCCCUGCAAGCACAUGCAUAUGGCGGCCACGACCACGGCCUGCUUCACCUUCUUCCCGGUCACCUCUCCAUGCCGGAAUCUCGGAUCGAGUAGCUCGUCGGGCACUCGCUGGCGAGCAGCGGCGCGACCCAAGCGACGAGGCUUACCUCCGCUGCCGCCGCGCCCCCGAAACUUCGCCCUACUCCGCCGCCCUGUGACACCGGAGGUCGAAGCCGCCGCCGCCGCCACUCGCGUCCGCGCGCCCUUCGCCGCCGCCGCAGCCCGGCGUUCCCUUCGCCUCUUCCACCGCCGCCACCGCCCCUCUCGCCCUUCACCGCUGCAGCCCCCGCCCCGCGCGCCGUUUGCCCCUGCCACCGCCGACGAGAACAAUCGGGAGUAGGGAGGAUAAUACCGGGGGACCGGUAAGGAGAGGAGAAAGGAAAUAGGAGGGGGGGAAUGGAAAAGUAACACGGGCUGCUGCUGCCCGCUCGAUACCUCCGCUCGAAUCUCAAAGACAACGGUGGAUGUCGCACACACUGCAGCACGUAUGUACGUGUAUGUGCGAUCUAAUCUGAUCUCGUACGCAGUUGGAGUGGCGCCAGAAUUGAAGUGCGUACGAUGUACGUAUAGCAUCGUCAUCUGCUCGGUCCAUAUACACGGCAUGUGGAAGCAUACGUGUAUACAUACAUACGUACGUACAACGGGUGCAUGCAUGAUGGACGGUCAUAAUCGAUCGGCCGGACCACAUAGCUAGCUCCAUGUUCGUAUUUUUCUUGCAUAAAUAUCCGGAUCGGCGUAUAGAUCGACCGAUGCAUGCAUGACUACCAACCUUAAAUCCGCGUAACAUGCUCGUAAAUCAAGGUUUUGGCUCUACGCAUCAAGUGCGUGCAUGCCAUCUCUUGUCCAUCAUUUUGGUACUACGUACGUACUGUCAUUUUCGUCUUGGCGGAGGUAUGCGUUUUGUCCACAUGGCCACAUGCUAGCUAGCUAGGUUCCUUCCAUAGUUCCAUUUAUAUACUUGCAUGAGCAAUUAGUGAACAAUACGCGCACAUACAUAAUGGUUGUGCUUGUGCAUGCAUAUGUGUGUACGCAUACACGACUAUACGAGCAUGAGCACGUACCCAGACAAGAUGGUAUAUAUAGCAAGUUUACGUUGCGGUUGUGCGUAUGUACGUAGCGUAUGUGUACGGCCGAGACACGAAAAUUGCAGCCAGUACGGGUUACGUACGUGCGUACGGCGGACUGACACGAAAUUUGCCACACACGAAGCGUUCAAGUCUCCCUUGGCCGUGUUCCCCGAAUUAGUAGCUAAUCAGUACCCGCGCCCGAUCGACGGCGACAUCGACUCUGCUGCUGACCGGAGCAUGGAUUCGACAUCGACUCUGCUAGACAACGGUGGGCACCUGUGUUCGUUAGAUUGUCCGAUAACUCUUUUGUUCUUAAUUGUAAAUGCAUCCAGGAACCUGGACUCCGUUCAGAAAAAAUAAAUCAAUGAGAUUAAAUGCGGACAUGUGAACCAAGCAUAUAUUAACGAAGAUUGAUGAUUGAUCUAUAUAUAUCCAUCUCAAGCAUACAUAUCAAAUCGUUCAUUCACGGGAUCUAAUUAAUUAAAGUUUGACUGUUAAAAGCUUUCCAUAAGAAACCGUGGCUCCGCACUCUAUAUAUUGUCUUUCCCAAACAACAUACUAUUAGCAAGGAAUCAUACGAAGUUUAGCCCAAGGAACUCAUUUGCUUUUGCCAAUGGGUUGUGGAUAUGUUGUCAUAUCAAUCUUACUAUGCUUUACAUCCGCACAUUGCUUCCUCACUUUCGUUGAAUCAACAGAUGUAGGUGGUAAUCUGCAAAAGAAUGAGAAGGUACUUCGACCCAUGAGGCUCUUUCUCAAUUUUUUUUUAAUAUUCGCUAAAUCUCGUAUAUGCUUUGACCAUUUAGUGCUGAUCGUUAUAAAACUAGUCUAUUGUAACUAUCCUUUGUUAUGUUGCCAAUUAAAAUUAGGAUAUCACAUGUCCGAGAUGUAUGUAUUUACAAAACAAAACCUGUCACCAUGCACAGUUAUGUACAGUCAAUUUGAAUUUAAAUUUAGUUCCAAACUUCAGUUAGUUUUCAAAUUAGGAUAGCACAUGUCCGAGUCCUGGCAUAUAUUAUUCAUAACAUGAGAAAAGGAAAUAACAUGCAUUUAGAAUCUGCAGCACGCAUAGAUUGCAUGGGUCAAAAGGGGCCGCCUCGUGCUUGGGCCGAACGAGGCUUCCCAAGUAGCGAGGUCGAGAUACCCUUAAGACUCUAAUCCGAUUCCAUCUCCUUCAGGCUCGGGCUGAACGAGACUUUCCGAGAUCCCGAAACUAGAGCUCCUCUCAAAGAGGCUCUCUAGCCCUCUCCCCUUGAGUUUAUUCAAGCGAGAGUGAAUAAUACAUGCCUCCAUGAGGGGUAUUUAUAGCCUAGGGGUCCAUGACAAAAGACCAUGAUUACUCUUGAGGGAGAGAGAAAAGUGGGGGCAAAAGGUUAAAAGUAGCUCCUUUGGUCCAUAACUUUUGUGUGCACCAUGUGAGAAAAAUAGGGCUUGGUCCAUGAUCCACUAUGGACUAAAGGCUCCCUCCUCUCACCUUUCUUGCCUCCUACUCUAUCUCAUUUGAUCCUUUGAUCAUGGCAUGAGAGGCUUGACUCGUUGACUAGUCUUCUUUUACCACGUAGGAUUGACCGCACCACGCAGGUGUCUUGACUCGUGCUUGCGAAAUGUUGACUUGGUCGUUGCCACGUAGGAUUUACGGUCCGACCCAUAUAAGGGUUUUAUUUUACUACAACAAGCCUAAAUUAAUUAUUCUUGCAGAACGCUACACUUUUGGUAUCCAAAUAUUUUCGGUUCGUCCAGAGCGCGGUAAAUCAGGCCGGAGAAAUUCAGAACAGUACUCUUUCAACACCCAAACCUAUCUGUUAACCAGGAGAUCCAACCUUUUGGGUGUAGACAGCAACACUGUUUCUCAUGUACUCUCUCUCUCUCUCAAAAGAUGCAGCAUCCCCAUUGGUUAAUUAUGUUUUUUUUCACUACUAUUAAUGUCUUCGAUUGUUCCUUAAUCUGAUUUAUGUCUUAUUGUCGCUGGUAUGCAAUGUGGCACACAAAACCAGGAAAACAUCAUGGUCUUCGAGCAGAAAUGAGUAUAUGGGGUUCACCAAAUCAACAAUACUCUCAAGACUCCGGAUCAGCCAUACAGAUCUAUUGUGCAGAAGGAGGUCGCUACCGCCUAAUCGAAGCCAGAUUUCACGUAUAAACAUAUCACGAUUAUUCCAGUAAUCUCAAAAUACUUUUCAAGAAACUGUUAUCUUAAAUUCUGGUUCGGUCGGCAUGCAGGUUGCCCCUCUUUGUACCACAAUAGAGAUGUCCGUUUCUUCACGUACUAGACGGUAAGCUUAAACCAGCAUGCCAUGUGAAUAAAAUGCAGUAUGUUGAGUUUUUCUCCCACAAUUUUCUAUUUUUUUACUACUUAUCAGAUUUAGCUGUGGUCAUUAAUUGUUUCCCACGAUAAUACAUAAGGACACCAAAUCAGCAGGCUGCUACAACUUGGACUGCUCCGGAUUUGUUCCUGCGCGUGGAGCUGCAUUGGUGCCUGGUCAAGCCAUUGCGCCUACGUCGAUUUAUUACGUAUAAGACCGUUAUGUCAGGCUUAGCAUAAAUGAGGUGCCCUUUUAUCCCAGUAGAGACAAACAUACAUUUGAACGUACAUGGCUAAUAACAUGCUACUACUUAGACAUAUACUAAUUAAUAUGUUAUGCCAUGUUUAAAUGAGUUCUUCUACGGUACUCCGGAAUAAAUAUGAACGUUCAUUUUUUUAAUCAGAUUGGUUGUUACUCCCUCCUACUCCAACUAAGUAUAUGGAGUAUUAGGAAGGCAGGGGUAAAUACGUAAUCUAAACCUGUGCAAACGAAAAAAAACGUAAAGAGCUUGUCCGAAGGGGGCUGCGCCGGUCGCCGCGCGGAGGACGGCGUUGGCUGCAGCGAGGCCCGCGACGGGUGCGCGGGGGGCUGCGGGCGGCAUGCUGGAGGUGGCCGGCGGGGGCCGUGGGCGGCGUGCUGGAGGAGGCCGGCGGGGGCCGCUGCGACGGCCGCGGGCGGCGCGCUGGAGGAGGGCGCCACCGGUGCGCAGGAGUAUGGCCGCGGCGGCGCCGGAGGAGGGCGCUGGCGGCCGCUGCGAGGGCCGGGGCAGCGAGCUGCGCUGAGGGCGGGGGCGCGCUGGAGGAUGACCGCGCCGGCGCUGGAGGAGGGCGCCGGCGUCCGCUGCGAGGAUCAUGGGAGAGGCGCGGUGGAGCAGGGCCCGCGGAGGCGCCAGAGGAGGACGGCGCCAGCGAGCGGCAUGAGGGUGGCGGCGUCGCCGGAGGGUGCGAGCUACGCGAUCGAGACCACUGGAUCAGCACCAACGCGAUAGGGAAGAAAGAAACCUGAUGUGUUUUGGUUUUUAAUGAAAAAAGACAAUAACGCCCUUCCCUAAAACUCCGUUUAGCCCAUUGGAGUAUCAGGUACAGAAGAAAACCCCGUUUAACUAUUUGGAAGUGGAAGAUAAGAAUCUAAAAUUAUGUUCACUAAAUAUUUGUAUGUAGUUUCUUUACUCUCUUUUUUCAUGGAAAUCAUCCAUUAUGACCGCCAUCGCUUGUUGAUUGUGUAUGUACAGGAUCCGCACACUGGAGAUUUGGUGGUGUACCGGCACGACUUGGAGAGCCCCUCAUUCUUGGGGCAUUUCCCGCGGGAGCUUUGCCCUGGAUCGUCGCGAAUACAAGCACUGACUGGAUUUGUGAAUUACCUAAAGAAUGUACCGGGUCCUCCAAUGGGCAGCGGCUACUUCCCCACUAGUAACGCCAAGAGAUCUGGAUACUUCAAGCAUGUCAAGAUUUACGACUCCAAAGGUCACGCUUGGGACCCAGAUUCAACUCCAAUGGAACGUCUAGUUGACAGAUCAGACUGCUACCGGCUUACCGAUCUCGAUCUUGCGUUUAAGAUGGGCUACACGUUUUAUUAUGGUGGACCAAGUGGUUGUGUUGGUUGACAACACAAGUUCUGUUUGCUUCAUGCGUGUGAUUCAAUAAAGCAUAAAUUAUGCAGUAUAUGUUUCUUGAUGAACGUACAAUGUCAUGCCUGUUUGUUUUCUUGCCAGAUCGCAUUUAGCAUAGGGCCUGUGUAUUAUCCCAAUUCAUAUCAAGGUUUUAUAUCAUUGGGCUAUUAAUAAAAACUUAUUUUCUGGUCAAUCUGAAAAAUUAUAAUGGUGAAAAGAUAACCAUGGUAUAACCGGUGGCAGAGCUAGGAAAGAAAUUAUUGAGGGGUCAACCUUGAUUAGUAGACUACUCUUAUGUUUUUUCUCUUUCUCUCUUUUUGAGAAAAACAGUACAGAUCUUAACACCGAUUAUCUAUACAUGUAAAGGGAUAAUAAUGCAUUCAUGCAUGUGAUUGAUCGCUGCAGCUGCAACCAAGGUCAGACCAGGUUGACAAUAGUGCUUCUCAUAAGUAGUGUACUUACGGCAGGAAAUUCGAUCACCCUGAAAACAGAUGAGUUAAGAAAUGAAGAAAUGAUGUAACUGCAGUUUAAAUGUUUUAUACAAGAUCACACAUGUUUCAUAGAAAACCAAAGAUACCUGCUACAAGAAAACAAGGUGCACUAUGUACCGGCUAUACACUUCCUGACUUCCACUCAUACUAAUACGAUGGAAGGGAUCAGCUCGCUGGGUCUUACAAGCAGUAAAGCAAGCUGCCAGAUCAAGAGGGUUAGGGACAACAUUUUCUUUUUUGUACAGAUCAAUUCCCACCAUUCACACCAAAACCUCAAGUGGUUAUUUCUCCCUUUACUCGCACUGGCUGCGUCAAUGAGCACUUAGAUACAACUCAUUUACAUCAGAAAACAAGAGCAAGCUAGAUCUAGGGGUUUUGAGUCUGUUGCACACAAAUUGCUGGAUCUACUGGCAGCAUCCUCCUCCGUGUUUUGCAUUGUUCUCCUGCUUCUGUUUCAGUGAGUUCCUCUUAACGACUGAAGAUCCUUCCUCCGAGAGACUUGGAACCUCAAGGAUCUGCAAUAUGUCAGCACAGUAAGGUGGCUGCAGAUAUCACAUCCACAAGAAUAGAGUGUAUCAAGUCGAUUAUCUGAUAAAAACAAGGCUGACAAAUCGGCUCAAGCCUGUUCUUGUUAGUACGGCGGGUGAUACCCUAGGACUUACUAAAUGGAACAUGCAGAAGUAAUCAUACGUCAUUGAUACAAUGAAAAAUGAAUCCGUCUUCCAGAUGAACUUAAGAAUAGCAAGACUGUACAAUGAACAUGAAAAGAAGAACAGCAGAUGUAGUCCAAAUAUACAGUUAGGACGCAUAAGUUGUAGCAGUAGAAACAUAGGAACAUAAAAGGGUUAAAUAUGAAGUAGAAUUAGAUCUCCUAACUUUACUAGGGGGGCUAAGGAAGAAAACUAUUAGAAGACUAGAUAUUCCCAUGUUAAGGGAAAAAUCAAGUUCAGUCGAGGCAUAUCUAGGAAAAGCAUACUGCACACAAAUUUGGCUGAUGGUUAUAGACAGACGUCCACCCUAAAUAUGUGGCAGAUGUGCAAAUAUACCACCUUACACCAGUUCACACAGGCAGGCAUGCAAAAAAGCCUUACGUUGGUUCACUGUUCACUUGCUGAACAUUACAUCACAAUGUAAGCAAAAUAAAAUUAUGUCACAAAAAACUGGAAGACUCUUCAAAUAACAUUUGUGCCAAAUAAUCCGACAAGCUCAGAUUUUGCAGAUAACCUGCCUGAAGAGUAGUUUGCUCGUCCUCCCCAAGGGAAACACUAUUCCUAAAUGAUGCUUGGGAAGAGAAAGCACACUUAAACAACAGUAGUUAUCUUGAACUUCUUUCUUACUGUCUCUUAAAAAUAAAAAUGUAAAUCUAUUGACUCGUUAGUGCAUGUUUCAAGACGUCAAGGGGGCAGUUCUCAAGUCCAGGUAUCAAGUGAUAUGCAAGUUAAGGGACCCGGGUACACUUUACUCUUGGAACAUGCACAAACUGAUGGGCGACAGCACAAUAUACAUUGAUUACUGCAUUGAUCAUAGACAAGGAAAGGCAUACACAACCAGAUAUUCAGGACUUAUAUCUGAAAGAAAAAUUCAGGCAACACAUGAACAAUACUGCAGCAGAAACAUAGCAGUUACAGGCUUACAGCAUUGCAACAAGAGGAUUUCUAUUCUAGCUGUUCUCCGCAAUAAGAUGGGACAACAAGUAUCAAAUAUAUCGCAUCUAGUGGAGGAAUGUCCAUUGCUUUCUGAAAUGCAGCAUCGUAUUCCAAAUUUGUUACAAACCAGUCAACUAUAUAUUUGUGGAGCUUUGAAUCUAUGGGAAUCUAUAACUUUACAAGUCCCUAUUUUUGGAGUUCUAAAAGAUUAUUUUAUGGUCAAAAGUAAAGAGGUUAAGGUUAUGGUGCUUAGUAUACUUCUCUACGUGUACCUUUAGCGCAAGCUCUUCAAAACAUUUCUCCACAUUUUCUCUUGUUUUGGCGCUACUCUCGAGAAAUAGGCAUCCACAUUCCUGUGCAAAAGCAAGACCUUCUUCUCUUGUCACCAUUCUUUCCUCAUCCUGCAAGAACCAUAAUAUUCAGAACACUCUAGUGUCACUUCAUCUUGUGUACUAUUCCAGCAAAAAGCAUUGCUAAUAGGGUUUAACAUGUUUGGUCUUUUGGGGUUAGAAACAAUCUCAUUCAUUGCAUUAGCAAAUUACUUCUCUUCUCCAAUUCUGUCUGAAUGCCAUAUAUCUGAUAAGAUCUCAAGCGACACUGACUCAUACAGUGGGUCCUAAAAUUGAUCCAACAGGUUUACAUCGCAUCCACCAAACACUUACAUAUUCAAAAAUCAAAAUGUAAAACAACAACAGGUCCCAAAAUCGAACAACAUACGUAACCACUUGAUUUGAAACAAAGAAAAGUAGAAAACAUACCUUGUCCACUUUGUUUCCAACAAGCAUUUUAACACACUCUUUGUUUGUUGAGUGCAAUUCUAUUUCCUUGGCCCAUACAUCAGCAAGAUUGGUGAAACUUUGUCUCUUUGUGACAUCAUAAACUAAACAGAAGAAGAAGACAACACAAAGUUAAACUCAUGCAAGUUAACCUGCAAUGCUUUUCACAGAAUAAAAGAUACACUGUAAGGUUCUUUUUUCCAGAUAUUCUGUUGCUACAAGUAAUCACAACAAUCAUUUCAGCAUCACUAAUCACAACAGAAGUUCUCGCUCACCAAAUGUUGCUACGAAAUGAUUAGGUGGUACAGUAUCUGAGUGAGGUGAAACCUAGGUUCAGUGAAAAAAAAUCAAUUGAGUAUGAUAAAAACAUGACAAAAAUUAAUUGCACAUCUAUUGGCAGCAUAUCCAAGAAUCAGUAUACAGAUGGUCAAAUGGAAUGAUACAACUAACUAGAAAGACCAUCAACUUGGUGAUAAGGAGGAAAGAUCUAUAUAAUGGAUAAGAUUGGAAAGUCACAAUAUCGUUCACAAAUUACUACUGAGUAGUAUGUUAUCUUGCUCGAUUUAUAUGGCUAUUGAAAAGAUCAAGUUGAGCACGCAUGCACUUUGUAAAAAAGAACUGCAUCCUGCACACUUGCAAGUCAGGCAUAAAAAAUGGUUAGAGCUUUUAAUCGUGGCCGUGCAAUAAAAUCUUAGAAGAUAACAUAUUACCUAGAAUAAUUCCAUGAGCACCUCUGUAGUAAGAACUGGUGAUUGUCCUAAAUCUCUCCUGGCCAGCUGCAAACAAUGAAAAGGAGUUGGCCCAGCAGUUGAAAGUGUAGUAGUGUACUUUUCUUAUACAUUGUGAAACAAUUUGGUCGUGCCCAGGACAGAACAGGCCAAGUAAUGAGCUCUUGCUGGGCUAGGAAAGAAGUUUAAAGUAUGUAAGUACAGAAGAGCUAUUGUCCCCCAAAAGCAUACAUCAUACAUACAAUAUUGUCAGGAAAGCAUGUAAGCAGUAACCCCAUAUUAAUUAAAAAAAAUGCAACAGAACUUACCGGUGUCCCAUAUUGUCAACUUCAGUUUCUUCUCACCGACAGUGAGAAACUUGAUUUUAAAAUCCACUCCUGGAAAUCGUUGUCAAUUCAAAUAAAUUCUGACAAGUAAAUAACAGGGACGAUACAUCAACUAUGGUGGAAUAACUGGAUGGGUUCCUAUUCAGGACAAAAGGAGUUGGAGCUGCUAGCCUACUAGUGCUGGAAAAUAUUCAUGGUAAAAAUGUGCUGAUACUGACAGAAUGCGAGAUGAGCUGAUCACUGUCUAUUUGGAAUAUAGUUCGCCACACCUGUUUCGUCUGCUAGUAAUGUCAAAAUUAGUUUCACUCGAUUUUAAGCGAGGUAGUUUUACAGACGCUCCUGAAUCUUCUUCUUUUUUCAUCUGUAGUAGCACCAAGCAUGAACCAGAUGGUAAAAGCUCGUCCCACUGUUUUCCUUUGAAAAAGGAGAAUAAAAAGAAGACGGUGCGACCCCCCUUGCCUUAAAACCGCUGCUUACCACUAACGAAUUUCUAGCCUCUUAACGAAUGAACAGACAAAACAUUCUCGGGUCAAGGUUCCACCUUCCAGACCAUCAAAAAUCUAUCCCACGCACGGCAUGACACCUGUUAUUUAAAAACCAAGGUUGCGGCACGAGCCGUUGCUAAAGAGCAGAAGUACCCUGGCACCCCGUAUCCCCAACAAACUGAUGUCGCGGCCGGUGUCGCGGGUGAUGACCCCUGCCCUUAGCUUAGCACCCUCGAAAACCGACUUCACCAGCACUAGCAUGAGAGCCAUGAGCCCAUGACCAUCUCCAGGCAGGGAAAAUAUACGAAGACGGCACGCACGGGGGAGGGGGCAUCAUCAUGAUAAUCUAUAAACAGCGGGACAGGAUAACGCCAGCCGCGACAGCAAUCCCAUCCCCGUCCCAUCAGAGACAGCAUUAAUUGCUGCGGUGUUCCCCUAAUCGGGACGGGGCAGGCUUGGGCGCAGGGUGGGGGACGACGCGCGCACGGCGUGACGAAUUGAAGCUGGGAGAUCCAGCGGAGCGGAGGGUUUGGGAAGGCCGUGGUGGUACCUAUGGUGGGGGAGAUGUCGUGGUCGGUGGGGGAUGCGGAGACGAAGCUGACGAGGAGGCUGCUCUUGCCGACGGCCGAGUCCCCGAUGAGCAGGAUCUUGAAGGAGCAGUCGUAGCUGCUGGUCCCCGGCGACGUGCCCAUGGUGGGCAAGGGGAUGGGAGGCAGACGGCGCGAGCGAGCGAUCGAAUCGCGGGACGGGAGCGAAGCGAAGCGAAAUGCGGGGUGGGUUGGUGGUGAGAGGGAGGAGGGAGAGAUUCUGGAGAAGCGAAGCGAGAUUACUAGAGGAGAGGAGAAGGGAAUAAAGCGAGAGAGAGUCGAUGGAAGGAAGGAAGGAAGUCGAUCGAAACGGAACGACGAGGACUAUCGGUUACGUUUUUGGGUGCGUGGCGCGGGGGAGCGGGACAGGUGGCGUCGCCUGGGAGCUCGGCGCCGCGCACGACGCAACCGACCGGGCGGCGUCUUCUCGGCUCGUCGUGUUGCUUUGACUCGGCUGCCUGCCUGCCUGCCCCGGGGAUGAUGAGGUGACCAGAGCACGGUUGCAGGUUGCCGGCAAACCCAGAAACCAGAAGCAGCUGGAAACAAUUUCGUCGUGUACGUGCCACCUUAAAAAAGAAAAAAAAAAACAGUCUCAAAAGCGGUAAUGCAUGAUUGCCUACCUAGCUUCCUUAGUUUUUAUCUGCAAAGAACAUCGUCCUAACAUAACACUAGGACAUCUUUUGGGUCACGGGAUGAUGAUGAUGCUGGCCGGUGAGAUACAUCGACGACGGCUGGAUCGGAGAUGGUUCCUAAAGCAGAGAAAGAGCACGAUCGAACCCCCGGCGAUCGAUCAUUCCGCCUUUCCUAUCCUUUUUGAAACUUCGCGUAAUCAUGUCUCUCGCCCGUGUGUUAGUUAGUGGAAGCCAAGUGCCGCCGAAAAGCCCUUUAGCUUAGCCGGUGAGGUUAUGCGCAUCAGCAAGGUUAGGUCGUGGUCUCCGUUGCGUAGGUGAAAGGUGCGUUCUUGGCCUCUGAUAACAGGUACAAAGGCCGUCAUGGGAAAAACGAAAAUGCUUUCGUGUUCACGGGUGAUCAGCAUGCAAGUUGAAUUCAUAGGUCUAGUCGAGGUCGAUCUCAGAGUCGAGCUGUCUGACUCCGUGAUGCUCUGUGGUUGAAGACAAUCUGGCGAUAUCCAUCGAAAGUUACGGGCCAACUGCGAUAUCCGAAGCCCAGUACUACUACCUAGGGCCAGCUUAUUGCGUCCCGGCCCAGCCCAGCCCAGUCCAAUAGAGCAAUCAGGUACGGCUACACGGUAUUGCUGGCUAAAAAAUAACAAUAACGGGAAUUGCUAAUGCUCACUGAGAUUUGAGAGUGAGAUUUCCUGUCUUAGUGAACCGAAUUCAGCAAGCGUAUAACGAGCACACAACAGCACAGAACAAUGUAAUUGAUGUGUAGCACACGGGGACCCUUUUGGCAGGCUACAGCGUCGUACGUCUUCAGCAUUUUCAGGCCGUCAUCCGGUCUGGCGGGUGUUGUAGGAGCUGCAGCCGGGGCACUUGUGCGCCAAGAUGUGGAACUGCACCUCCGACGCCGCCCCGCAGUCGUUGCACAGGAUCCAUAUCUGAAAAAACACCAAAAAAAAACCAACAAUCUUUCAGUCAGCACGGGACUAGCUAGAUCGACGGGUUCGACAGAAGGAGAACCCAAAUUAACGAGACGGAUGGACAUUGAUUUCUCCUUACCAUCUUCUUCUGAAUCGCCGGCAUCGGCGACGCCGCGACCUGUCGAUCGAGCUUCUGCCAGGCAUCGGACAUGUCGCAGGCGGACUUGAGGCAAACGGGACACGAGAACCUGAGAGGAAAAAAUGUCGCAUAUAUGCUGACACCAUGUUCAUGGGGUAAUUAAGUCUAUCUGACCCUGUGUCUGUGUGGAUAUAGAUAUACUUACCGUCGAUGUGCUCUCAUCUCGCGGAGGCAUUCCACGUGGAUCAUGUGCCCGCACCGCAGCACGUUGAUAUCUCUCGCCGACUCGAACAUGUACUGUAGCAGAAAUCAGAUAAAGGGGAAGCCGAAGCAAAAAGCAAAAAUUCAAUCAGAAACAGGGGAAUUCAAAUUCUUUGCUGAAGAUGAUCUCUCUGGAGUCUGAGUCCGGAAGAAAGAUGUUCACCUCGAAGCAUAUAGGGCAGUUCUGGUGCAUUGCCCUAUCGACGCAGCGAUGGGAAUCCUUCAGCACGAAGCUGUAGCAGCACCCUGUUGUAUACACAGGCUCAGUGCAACGAUGCAGACUUGUUAGCAGCAGCAGCAAAGGAUUCAGUAACUUGAGUAUAAGUCCAUUUGGCACCAAGAAGGAAGGUUUAGGUACCGCAUUUCUCGCAGUGAAAGAAGUUGUCUGCACCGCCGGUUCUGCGAAAGACGGAGUACAAUUGUAAACUAGGAUUUGGUAUUGGCCUAUUAUGGUAAAUUACAAGGGGUGAUAUGUCAAUGCAGAUACAGCACUACUUAGCGCUUGCCUGCAUAUGCCGCAUCUGUCGCAGUGAAACUGGUUCUUCGAUACCUGCAAUUAGGACAAAGCAACAUCAUACUUCUGAAAAUAUUUCCAAAGCAAAAAGAAUUUAAUCUCGUAGUAAACUGCAAAGUGGUUCGAUCGAGCUCGGACGUGCUUACAUCGUCGUCGAAGAAGUUACAUUUUCCGCAGAAGUAUUUACCGAGGCGCGCCCCGCAGUUUGAGCAAUCCUGUUUUACCUGUAAUAGAUCGAUCAGAUACGAAUUUCAUUCAACUCUGCAAUCCAUGGCUGCACACAGCCGUCAGAGGAAACACUAUCCUUACUCUUCACUGGGGUAAGGAACUUACUUCCUGUUCGUUGUUGCAGAGCGAGCAGAUAACCUGUGAUGUGCAGAAAAGUAUACAUGGUGUAAGAUCACUAUAAGGUGAGGAGGCUCAAACUGAUUAAAACGGUUAGAAAUAGUAACAAGUUCAAUUUCAUUUUUUGGGCAUUCGUUCCUUGAUUUUCUACUCCUAUUAAUAUUUAAGAACCCAGAAAUUCUGCGCAAAGACAAGAAUUCCACCGAAUUUGUUGCUAGACUUUGUGAGCAUCUAGAAUGAACCUGGACUGGACUGGAACCCAUUUCCUGGUCUCUAUUAUACUUGUAUCAGUCUAUAUGCUAUAUACAUCUGAUGCAGCUGUCGGUCCACAUCAAUAUUCAAUAGGAGUGCAUAAAUAGUGCCUCAACCGUGCGGUGAUCAAUCUAUCAGCUGCAGUGCGCCAUCACCAUAAAUAGGUGAAGCAUGUCUAUACAUGUUCACUCUUUUAUCUAUCCAUCCCGUCAUGAUCUCAGCUCUGUUAAGUUCAGCAUGCAUUCAGUUGCUGCGGUGGCUAGUACACUAUGUAUGCAUUGCGUAUUUGCAUGCCAGGAAAGAAGCAGAGGAACUAGUAUUAAUGCUCAAGGAAAUAUUACUCCCUCCGUCCAACAAAAAAUGUCUCAAGUUUGUCAAAAUUUGGAUGUAUCUAGACAUGACUUAGUGUAUAGAUGCAUUCAAAUUUGGUCAAACUUGAGACAUCCUUUGUUGGACGGAGGAAUAGGAAAGAAGCAGGGCAAAAUAUCCGGUGAAAAUCACCUCUACGGUGCAAACUGUGAAAACUUCAUCGAAAAAGGUUCACAAAAUUCUCGAAAAAAUUACAUAUGUUAAAAAAGUGAUGUUUUAUAUAUGUUCAAAAUUUUAAGUCCAAACUCAAUGACAUUUGGUAGCAGCAAAAAAAACAAAUCCUGCAUGAAUAGUGAUCUUUUAAUGUCUGACACUAUUUAUCGUAAAUUUCUCUUUUUAAUUCCUUCCAAAUGAUUUUGACUUUGAACUUGAAAUUUUGCAGGUUUGUAGAAGAUCACACUCCCAGCAUAUGGUAUUUUUGUAGAUUUUUUUUGAAACUUUUAAACAUGAUUUUUAUGAAGUUUGCACCGAACGAAGGUUUUCACCGGAUACGCCGCCAGGAAGCAGAGUAACCGAGGAAGGAACAGGGCCAAGAACACACCGACCAGCUUGAUUUCAUGGCGAGGGAUCUCGUGACGGUCGCGGACGCUGACAGCCAAUGAAUCCUGCGCCGGAACAAAGCAAACAAAACACCUCGCUGAGCAGUUCCAGAACCUCAGGGGAAGAAAAGAAGUAACGCGAAGCGUUUCGACCUUGGCAUCGUCGUGGCAAUGGCGGCAGCCGAAGACCUCGCCGCAGCACGGCGCCCUGAUCUUGCACCUCCUCUUGUAAUGCGCGCACCUGGAUAUGCCGGAAGGAGGAUUCACGCACGGAACAAACGGGUUUACAUUUACAACAACUGAUCGCGAAACAGGAGAAAUGGAGAAUUGAAGUGGGUUCUUAUUGUCGUUUACCCGUACUGCUCUGAUCCCGAGUCCAGCUCCAUCUCUUUCAGCAGUUUGCUCUACCUGUCAGAGGUACCGAAACGAAAGGAAGAAGUGAAUCAAACAAGAAGGUUCAAAGCCAAAUAAAGCUUCUCACCCACCUUCUCUUCUUCGUCUGCCUCUGCAGUCUGCACCUGCCCAGCCGGACAACGGGACAGUCGUAGCAGCAGCCAGCACGCGCCGGAUAUGUUUAUAAAGGAAGCCUUGGGCAGAAAAAGAAGGGAGGAGGAGAAGUCGCGUGGCAUUUCGGUGGCGCUUGAGCUUUAUGUGAAGCAGUAAUAUAAAGAAAGUGCGUGCACAAAGACAGUGAACAUGUAGCAGCAUUUGCCUCUCAAGGCUUCGCUAUGGCACUGGCAACCAAACUGAGGACGAGGAGGCUGGAGUUCUCGGUUCAGAGAGCAGUUGUUUUCGCAGCUUAAUUAAAAUCUUGGUAGUAGUAGCCGCUAGCUUCUAUAGCAAGGAAUGAAUGUCAUCUCUACUGGAUUGUCGGGCGGGCAGAUCCAUCCAUCCAUCCGCGAGCUUUGAUCUCGUCAAGAUUAAAUCUGCAUCGGCAGCUCCUCGAUCCCUUUCAGCCUUUCACUCACGGGGGUUCCGUAAUACUAACACGCUAGUAAUCAACAAUCACCACUCACCAAUUAAAGCGUUAUUACAAAGUCGUGGAUCGGACAGCACGCGCUGGCUAGAAGCUUCUUCUUCCACGGCACUUCCACCACCCUUCUUCCUGCGUGAUCUGCAGUGCAGCAACGACGGCUUCCUAGUUUGUAACUGCAUCUCGAUCAGGGACUGCCAAAGCGAGAUGGUCGAUCGUUUGUUCAGGAAGAAGCUAGUGCCAAAGCUUUCUCUCACUUGGAACUUUUGGCCAGCAGCUUCCAUGCCACACGUGGUGGUAGCGGGGUGAGAGCGAUGCCUUGCCCGGCGCCAUCACGUUUCAGUUCAACCGUCUGCGUACGUAUCUGACGACGCCUCACCAUCGUUUUUUUGACUGACCGGCUGCCCAUAUUCGAACCCUGGUUGGUGCCUUGCCGAGGCGCGGUAAACAAGUAGCCCGGGCCGCGAGUUGCCACUUGCAGCAGGGGUGGCUUCACUUUUGAUGUCGAGUUUUUCUCUGAUGUGCCUUGAACUUGCGCUCGUUGACGACGUCGACUGGAAAGUGGGAACGCACGGCUAUCUUUAGCAUUCACGGCGUGUUACUCGUGCCAACAGUUUACUAUCUCCACGUCUCAGUUUGUAAACCGAAGGCUGAACAUAUUCUCUGCUCUUUUGUGAAAAGAAAAAUACAAAAGAAUGUAAACGUUGGUUCCAAAUAACAGCAGUAUAGAAUAGACAAAAGAGGACUGCUUCGCGUACGACAGUUUUCUUACGAUUCACAUACGACACUAAGUAGUAGCCAUCGAUAUCAGCAGCUCGGAAGUGCUGUAGCCAUUGAUCGGAACGUCGUACACAAAUCGUAUCUAAAGGAUCGUACAUGAAGUAAUUCCGUAGAGAAAACCGAACGGGACAACGAACGAGAAACCAGAUCACCGUGAUACGGAAGGGAGCCUUUAUAUCUUCACGAAACGAAUAAAAGCAAUAUCAUGUUGUUGGUUAAGGACAGGAUUCUUUUUUUUUUACCAAGGUUAAGGACAGGAUUCUGUCAUGAAAUAAUUAGAACAUUAGUUGAGAGGAGCCGGUCCGGAGGGAUUAUACGACCGUUUCGCUUCGUAUAAUCUGGAACGUCUAUUUUCUGAUCCAACGAUACGAGAUCAUCAGAGUUUCCAGACCGGUGUUCGAAGCCGCCGCCUGGGUAGGUUUUCGCCGCGUACGCUCUUGACUCUCGACUCUCAACUCUCACAGGCCUGUUUGCUUUACAACCAAAAUCAGCCCUACCAAAAAAUUGGCUUGCCCAUGGUAUUUGGAUGCUGUUUGGACGAGGGCCAAAAAGUUGGCUGGUCGAGCCAAUCUUUGGCGCGCCCGCGCUACUCCCGCAGAAACCAUUGGCGAAACGAGGACGGCGAAAACCUUCUCCAACGAAUUAGCAACGCGCCAACGCCUCUCCAACCUCUAAUCCUUGGUGGGCCCUGGCCUUUUUUUUAUUUUCUUCUUUUGUGCUCUCUCUGCUACUUUCUCUCUUGUUGUCUAUUCUCUUUUCUAACCUAUAAUUUAUUCUAGAUCUUGUUUGCUAGGGAGUUUGCUACCUCACCAGUGAAAUAGAUCAAGUUAAAUGUUUGAAGUACUACUAACUUGAUUGCAAACCAAAUGCAAAUCGAAAAAGCUUGUCAAAAAAUUUGGCUGCAAAUUACCAAAAUAUUGAUCGUGCUCUGAAUUUGGUCAUACCAAUAUUUGCCAACAAUUUGGUAGGUCUGACCGGGGCUCAAGCCAAACACACCCACAAACUCCGAACCUGAAGCCGCCGUCAAAGCGCACUGCGAGCGACCAAACCCCAGGCACCCGGAGACCCAAAUCUAGCGCCGCAGAUGGCAGUCCCCGGCGGCCGCAACGGCCUCGUUGAUGACGACGACGGCGACCACGCCGAGGCCUUCGCCGCCCUCUCCGAGGACGAGGAGGCGCCACUGCCUCCCCACCUCCGGGCCCUCGCCGACGCUGCCCAGACCGGCAACGCCGACGCCCUCCUCGCCGCGCUUGGUACUGGCUUAAUUCCCCGUUGCCCCACCCACCCCUAAAUUGCGAUCCUCGUGCUCUUCUAGGGUUCCAGAGCACCAUUCGAUUAAGCAGACUACACGUGUUGCGUAGGUUGGUCAUUGGUGUCGGUUAUUGUCUGCGAAGUGCAGUUCUAUGUCUGUCCUUUUGUGAAGAUGUAUAUGGAGGGAUUCGCUAGCCAGGUGGCUGCUUAGCAUGAUCUGGCCGCCAAAAUUGCAGCUGUCUCAACCUCUAGUUUAGUGCUACUGUCUGAACUUAUGCCCUUUUGCGCUAAUAGGCUCAUGUUUCUGCCUGCAUUUUCCUAGUGCAAGUCCUCUAUUGGAUGACUUUGAUGUAUGGUCCUGAAUUCCAUCUGUACAAAAUCUUCACUUGCGCUGUAGCAUUUGAAUUGCAAUUCUGCAUGUAGAAGCACCAGAUGGUUGUCUUCUGCAAUACAAGUGUUAAACUAAAAUUAUAGGUUCCUGAACUCUUUAACAUCGUUCGUGUGAAAAAUGUGGCGAGCUAUAAUUAGCGCCUGACAUCUCUAGUUGUUGCAAUUGCUUUAGAGCCAGGUGGGCAUUGGCUGUAUUGGGCCGAGGAAUUUAGGAAGUAACAUAAAUAAAGUUAGUCACAGAGAAAAAUGUUUAGUGUUUACUGUUAUAAACUAUUUGUUACGUGGCUCUAGAAAAGAGGAUGCGUAUCAGUUAUUUUGUCUUCAGAUAGCAAACAAUGACCAUUUAAUAAAAAGCCACUGCUAUGCCGAACACCCUUAAUUUCUUUGCCUAACCCAGGAAACUUGGAAGAGAUAACUCUAGUUUGUGAGUCGCUUGCCCUGUUUUUAUUUCUACCUGCACAAGUGCUUCCUUGAUUGGCAUGUCGUAUUUUUCUCCAUGAAAACGAUCAACCUUCACUGGAUGGCUUCAUCUCCUUAAUGCCACUUGUUCGUUGUUUCGAAACUCUGUAAUGGUGUGAUCUUCAUUAUUCAAAAACACCUAUGUCUUGUCAUCUUGUAACAUACAUAGUUAACAGUUUAGCACUUGAACUGUCUUACUCCCUCCGGCGGAAUUACUUGUCGAAAUAUACAUGUAUCUAGACGUAUUUUACACAUAGAUACAUUCGUAUUUUGGGCAAAUUUGAGACAAGUAAUACCGGUUGGAGGGAGUAUGAGAUUUUUUUUUUGCCUGUCUUUCUGUAUUAAUUUUUUUUGUUUUGUGAGUACCUGUUGAAGCUGAAGCUUAAUCUGAAAUGAAGGAGAUGCUAUCGCUGGGGUAGAGCUGGGUACAUAAGAGGAUGCUCCUCAUUCCAUUGUAACUGACAGAAGAGGAUGCUCCUCAUUCCAUUGUUACUGUUGUUUUCGACUCUUCAAGCUUUUUUAUAGUUUCAAUUUUCAAGAAGCUCUCUCCUUGUAACAUUAAAAUUGCAUGAUGAUCACAUAUAUCUAACAUUAUAAUGUUUGACUAUAUAUUUGAGGUCCCUACCAUGAUCGCUUAACCAUCUCAAUUUGUUGGGCAAUAUGGACUGCAUUAGUUCAAAAAUCUUGCUGUUAAAUGAUUUUUCUUGAAACUUUGCUUUUCUUGGUUGGUAUCACCAUGCUGGUGUUUUUGGUUAUUAUUACUGGCCAAGAGAAAGCUGGCAACAUAAAAGUCAUUUCUUCAUAUGUGGUUGUCAUCCAUGGAGCUCUGUACUUAGCAUCUAUUAUUACGUUUACGCAGGUAAUUAUGGUGGCAGCAUUGAUGCUCCGGUUGAAGAUGGUGAUACUCUGCUUCACCUAGCAUGCUUAUAUGGCCAUCUACCUUGCGUGCAGGUUUACAUUGUUUAUCUUGCAUUUUUCACUCCGCUUAUUUGUUUUAUCUAACUAUGUUCUUCUUGUCAGCUACUACUGGAACGUGGAGCAAGCUUGGAGUGUAAAGAUGAAGAAGGAGCAAUUCCUCUUCAUGACGCUUGUGCUGGAGGUAUGCUUAUUUUAUUUGCAUUGAGCUUUUGUCAUCAUUGCCUCUCUUUUGUUCUUUGCGCUUUAUAUGUUUAGUUUAUUUAUUGAUUCUUUUGGUACAGGAUUCACUGAUAUAGUCCAAUAUAUUCUCAAUUUUGCUGCAAACACUAAUGGUUGUGCAAAGCGAAUGCUCGACACUGUUGAUGCUGAAGGCGAUACUGUAAACUCUCAACCAUUUGAGCAUAUGCUAACUGUGUUUUACAUCAUCGUAGUAUUUAUACAAUUAUGUAUUUUCUCCAUGCAGCCACUCCACCAUGCUGCUCGAGGGGAACAUUUGGAUGUUGUCAAGCUUUUGCUCGAGGCCGGUGCAUGUCCCAAGAAGGAGAAUUCUUAUGGACAGACACCAGCCGAGAUGGCUGAUCAAGAGACCGAUGUCAGGACCCUGUUAACUGCCAAGCAGGUUGAGGCCAGCGUACAGACGUCGAAUUGAUGGGCCUGUGGGAAUCCUUAGUUGAAAUUGGUAAACUGACAGGUUGAAUUCACUAUCGCAAUACACAGCUAUGAGAAUUGUUUCUUCUAUCAUCAGAACUAUGGAGUUUUGUGCAGUGAGAAAGACAUGAUGUUUCUCAGCUUCUCCCUUCAACAUUUUUGUUGUUGGUAUUUUCACAUUAUAGGAAAGGUAAAAUUGGGCACGUGCCGUACUUUGCCUGCAUGAUCACACGCAGUGCUUGAUGCCUUGCAACUUGCAAGAUUACACGUAGUGCUUCAUGCCUUGCAAGAUUCUUGAGUAAGGGAUUCUUUUUCCACGACGAGAUGAGAAAUUGAGAAUCGAUUCAGUGGAUGUAGUGCAGUGUUUACUGCCUGUAGCCCUGUGUUAUUACUUUGCUAGGCUAUAGAUUGCAAUCCAAGCUGUAUUAGGUAGGAGUAAAUCACACAUUUUUAAAGUCCCUUCAAAUCAAGGCAGACACGAUCACACGAAACCUCUGGGUCCUGGGAUGCUUCGCUUUUCGCACUGUACAAAAAAUUGAAAGUAUUCUCUUCUUUUAAAAGAACAUGCUAGUUUCAAAUUAAUUGCGGUUGAAUGAGCAUUGCUAGGCGUACAUAGUCCUGCAGAUUCCGCGUAUCAAGUUCUCUCGAUCCUUACUUCUCAUGGAUUCCGCGUAAACCAGUUCGAAGCGGAGUCGGACUCGGACCCGUUCUGGAUCUAUAUUAACUGAACAAACCCCACCGCCCACCGCGUAUCCCCUCUUCCAUUUGGUCCUGAACUCCUGAUCGAUCGAUAGUCACCUUUCAAUUCUCCAUGGCGGCGGUGCAAGUGCAACAACGCCUUCCCCUUCCGCUCGCCUCCCCUCAGCAGCUGCGCCGCAGCAACAACACGCCGGUGGCGGUGGUCUGCCGCUACUGGAAGUCCGGCCACUGCAGCCGGAACCCCUGCCGCUUCCUCCACGCGGACGCGCCAAUGGCGCCCUACCCGUCUCCGAUCGUCAAGAAGCGCAACAACACCUGGGUCAACACAUCUUCCCGCGUCGCCCCGAAUCCCAAUGCCGACGCCACGACCACGGUUCCUCCGGCCACGCAGCAUCACGCCGAGCCCGAGCCCGAGCAGCAGCCGCCUCCCAAGCGCGCGCGCCAAGCGGAAGAAUCCUCCGGCGCCCACUCCUGGUGCGUCGGCGACGGCAUCCGCGGCAUCGCGAGGCUUCAGGGCCACGCCAGGGCUGUCACCGGCGUCGCCGUGCCAGAAGCUUCGGCGGGGUCCGGCAGGCAACUGCUGUACUCCGGCAGCCUGGACGGCAUGGUGCGCGCCUGGGAUUGCAACACCGGGUGGUGCAUCCGCGUCGCACCGGCUCACGAAGGGGCGCCGCCCGUAGGCCGCCUGGUCGCCAUGGGCCCAUGGGUGCUCGCCGGGGUUGGCGCCGUGAUCAGCGCGCUCCACACGGGGACCGGCAAGGUGGUCCAACUGCGGCUCGGGCCCACCGCGCAGGCCGUCAAUGCCAUGCUUGCCGAGGACGAUGACGAAGACGGCAAACGGCUUUUCGCCGGCGGGGACGACGGGGCCAUCUACAUCUGGAGGCUGGACCGCGAGCGCCAAACCUUCGACGAGAUCGCCGCUCUCACGGUCCCUGGACUGCACGCCAGCGUUUCGUCUCUGGCGCAGGGGAAAGGCGCGCUCUACGCUAGCCACGAGGACGGGGCCAUCAGGGCCUGGGACCUCGAGACCCGCCGGUGCAUCUGCAGCUUCGCGGCCCACGAUUCCAAGGUCACGGCUUUGCUCUGCUGGGACAUGUUCCUGCUGUCCUCGUCCCACGACGGCACCGUCAAGGCCUGGCGGUCACCGUCGUCGAAGCCGGACCGCGAAGGCGGCGAUGACGGCCUGGAGGAGCUCGAGGAGCAUUGCACGCACAAGGAAGAAGGCGGCGAGCGGGUGGUCGCCAUGGAUGGCACGUAUGACGCGGACAAGAAGCCCGUCCUGCUCGUCUCGCGCUGCGAUGGCGUUGUCGUCGUCUACGGGCUCCCGUCUUUCGAGAAGAGAGGGCAGAUCCUCUGCAAUGGAGAGGCCGGGGCGAUAUCGGUGAGGACCCCCGGUGUGGUCUUCAUCGGAGACCAGUCCGGCGAGGUCAGGGUGGCCAAGUGGACGACGGCUGCUGCAGCUGAAGCCCAAGUUUAGCUAGCUGUUACGGUCUCUGUACAGUACUCCCUCCAAUCCAUAUUACUUGUCGAAAUAUUACAUGUAUCUAGACGUUUUUUAGACUUAGAUACAUUCAUAUUUAGUCAAAUUUGAGACAAUUAAUAUGGAUCGGAGGAGUAAUUAACCUCUUUGACAUGUAGAUCACUGGCAGUUUUGUUUGUAAGCCAGUGAGUUCGUACGGCAGAGCAACAUUAAUUUGCUCCUUGUUUUGUAAGAUAGCUAAUCGGCCAUAGUGAAUUGUCUCAGCAUUCCUUUGGCACAAAAGAUACGAUAGCGGGUUACUCAUGUGUAUACUAGAGCUCUUCAUGCUUGAAAUCCGGAUGAUAAUUGAUCAUGGGUGGAAGCUUCAGAGCUGACGAACAAGUACAUACUCAGACUCUUAUGAACAUCAAAUGAUCUUAACCGUAAUUCUUAUUCAGAAGCACGAAUGUAUCGUCAUUACAUCAGAUUUGCAGGACUAAGAUCAGAAUACAACACUUGCAUAUUCCCACCAGUUGAGGAUCUGAACAACCACCAUCACUUCAAUUCUACUGGUAACAAACCAUUUCUCUGAAGUGAACAACUAAUCAUCAAACAUAAUUUUCAGAAUUUUUAUCUGCCAUGUCAACGGAACCUAUCCAAGAUAUGAUUAACAAGCACAUGCCGCGCAGCAAAAAAAGCCUGCCCAGAAAGCAAAUCUACGGUUUUGACAUGUCCAGAAAGGAAUUUACAUAGCUAAUUCUGGAGCUAGGUUUAUUGAUCAUCUGAUCAUCUCUCUCUCUCUCUCCCCCCUCUAUGAUGCUGUCUUGUGCUUAGGCUUUACUAACGCCCGGCAACAUGAAGCUAAAGCGUCUGAUGCGUCAAGAAUUGGUGGAAGCGUGAAAGGGGGGAGAACACCACCUUGCGCAAAGGCCAAAGCAUUCCCAUCGAGUGUGUGUGCCAUUGCAACCUGCUGCUUGUUCAGCCCCUCCAUUAUGCAAGAGAACGCUGCAAAGGUGGCGCAACUCUGAAGCAAUGUUUGAGGCGCUCCUGGAUUGAGAGACACUAUGUAAGGAAAUCAUAUAGCCAAAGUUCCAACAAUUAACAGAUAUAAAUAGUGGUUGAUAUUAAUGUAUUCCACAUAGCAGUUUGGAGUGCACACACACAGAUGAUUGAACAAACAUAAGUCCAAUGUUGAAAUAUCAUUCCCAUGUUAAGCCACAUCUAUCUUCUUACAAGGCCAAUUGAACAAAUGUGCAAGUUAUAGACCUGUACUUACUUGAGUAAAAUAAUGCAAUACGGUUAUGACUGCCAUGAUUCAACUACGUUGCCAGUAAAACAACAGAGAGAUGCAAUUUAAGCUUACAAGAUAUGUGCUAUGCAUAACGUGUCAAAUGUACCGCCAGUUCAGACCUUUUCAGGUAAUGUAAUAUGCAUGAGCACAACAUGAAAUAGAAAACUGUGGUACAUAAAUAUAUUAUAUUUGUAGCAGCAAAUUAUCCUGCAUGAACUGUGCAAAUCAGGAACACCAGAUGCAUGAGCAAUUCAGUUUAAUUAGAUCACACAACUAACUGCACAGACUGUGCGGUCAUGAGCUAUGUAGCUCGGUUAUUUUUUCAAGGGUCAUUGAUCAGUAAACCAAAAUAAUUUGUUAACUACUGAGCAAAAGAUGGAUAAGGCCAAACCAUUGUCAUAUAGCAUUACAUAUUUUCCAUAUUAGGGACAGUAGACCAGUCCAUUGUCAAGUACACUCAUGGGAUGUGAAAAUAAUGUUAGUUCAAUGUAAAUGCACCUGGAAAGCUCAAAGCAAGGCCAGUGCAACAUCCAGCAAUGCCAGCAUUGACAACUGCGAAAGGAACAUGUCAGCUUAGACUUAUGUAUCCAAACUCUGAGAUUUAACCAGAUCGUCCAGAUAAGAAAUAAACAUACUAUCAUCUUUUCCACGCAGCUUUCUCAACAAGCACACAACCACACUUUGGACGCCAGAGAGAACUGCAAAAGUCUGAUCCGGGAAAUUUCUAUCAUAAACGAUCUGCCGUGAAAGGGAUAGAGGUAGAAAAGUUUUUUUUUUUUUGACGAAACGGAUACACCAUGUGAAAAAUAUGCAUUCCUAAGCAUUGUAAACAAGACCUUGGCAGAAGACCCUGCACUGCUGAAUGAGCCUUUGAAGCCCUUCUGAGUGAUCAAACCUUGUCCUGAAACAGAAUCCAAUGAGGCACAUAAGGGUUUCGAGGAAAUAACCAAGUAUCCAUCUUCUGUUAGUGAACACGGCGGCGGGUUUGGGGGUAAAUACCAUAUCCAACGAUGGAUCCAACGAAGGCGCCACCGGCGAAGUCUCCGGCAGACCGGACGAAGCAGACGACUGGGGCGGCAGAUAGAGGCGACGGCGGCGAGCCUCCCUCGGCGGAGCCGGUGCCCUCGGCUGCUCCGAGCUCGUCGCCGUCCGGCUCGUUCUGGCGCUUGGCCGACAUCUCCCCGAACGAACUCGUGGACGGGGGUGGUGGACGUGAAUGGCCACCGGCAGGGGACGAUGGCCGAGAGGACGGACAGGCGGCGGCGGCGGGAGCACGGACGGGCUUGGAGGGCGAUGCAGUGGGCGUGGGCCGUGGGCCGUGCGUUCUUUUCAGUUAAACCGUCGGCCCGGCAGUCCAGCGACGAACUGUCCUUUUGACUCUUUUUCUCCGUCCGAGCGAUUUGGCUCCGUCCUUCCUCCUCCGACGACGCCAACAGACGUAAUUGUAAGAUGACCAACAGACACCAGUAGCUACAUGAUACUCAGCGCGUGUUGACGCCGACGACCUUGGCGCCGAGGAGGAAGAAGUCUGUCUGACCGUCUGGAGCUUGGGCUCGUGCUGCUUGCCAGUGGACUCCCAAGACGGCGGCCGGGCGGCUCGCUGCAGGCGCUUCGUGCUUCCAGGGACGGAGGUAGGAAAUUUUUGUUCGAUGGGUUCGCUUAAUAUUUUGGCACAAACUAACUACUCACCCUUUUCCAUAAUUGUUGUCUCAAAUUUGUCCAAAAAUAGAUAUAUUUAUUUCUAAAAAAUGUCUAAAUACAUGUCGACAAGAAUUAUCGAACGAAGGGAGUAGUACUCAAAUAUAAGAGGUAGCAAUUAUAUUGCAGAUGGAAUUUCUUCGGUUCUCCUCUUCUUUGCAGGUCAUAUUUUUUUUGCAUUGUUGAAAUGUUACAUGUCCGCAUGUUAUAGCACCAAGAACAUCCACAACCUUUUUCUUAAUUUUGAAAAAUUCAAAGUGGUUUUAUGGACAUCAUGUGUCUACACACAUGUGCACCUAAUCAGCACUCAUCCUGACAUGUUACUACCAGUUGUGCGUCUUGCAAAGGAGUCGUGCUCACAGGGCCCAACCGUACACUGUGUCAGAGUAGAAGUUGUAGCACCUGGAAGCUCCUUUUAUCAUCUGCAGCUUCCCUGUGCUAGAAUCAAGUCUUGCUUCAAGGACCGUCAUGACGGCGACGUCGCACAAAGGAAUUGACAAAUUAUCCCAAUCAUGCCUAGUGUCAUAGAACCUUGUAACACAGAAUUUGCCACAGCCGAGAUAGGUGAGGUAAGAAUGGGCCAAAUGCCACUGCGAGCCCUUGUAUCCAUCAACAUCAUCCCAUACAUUCCGGUGCACCGGGGGCUCCAAGGCCCCAGAAUCAACGAUCAAGUCAGCCGAGCAAAGGUUGAUCGAUCGUUUAGAGAAUCCAAAACAUUGGCCAUACUCAGGUAUAUACUGCACUUGGCCCUCAAAAGGCAGCGUCCAGUCACCUACCUUGCGCCAUGUGGAAGUUGUAGUAUCAAAGAUGUGAGUGCCAUUGCCCAAUGUUGAUAUCCAUAUGUUCUCGUCGUCCCCAGCUGCAUAACAACGUAUGGUGCUUCCAAGCCUGAACGGCAUAUCAAAGAACGACGGCGAGGGCAGCAGAUCCCACAACCAAUCUUCCAGCUUGUCGUCGAAACGAAGGGCCUCAAAACAUGGCGUGCCGUAGUUGUCGGGGAACAUGUUGGUGAGGUAAAGCUUGCCUCGUACCGCUGCCCAGGCAGGCUUGAGUAACUUAGGAUGUCGCAGGUCAGGUCCCGCGGACAUAGCCGAGGUUGAGGUGUCAUACAAGAUGGUGUGCCGAUUCAUGUUGACGCUGACAAUUUUGCUGCCGAGGAGAAAAAACUCCGUAUGGUUGUGAUGGUGCUUGUUGGCAGACUCAAAGAAGGCAGCUGCCCUUGGUAGUGGAGUGACUUGCAUACUGGUGUUGCCAUCACCAAUACCGGCAAAGAGGGGUUUCAUAUCAAUGUUGCGGAGGCUGUAGCCACCAGGACCACACUCUUGAGUUCGUGGACAAUCAGAUGGACAAAUCUUCGAAUCAUGGAGCACAUCUUCGGAUCUUUUUUCUGAAAUUCUCCCCCAACCUGAUCUGCUUAACAAAAUUCAGUCCUGCCGAAUUCGUUCCCCAACCUGAUCUGCUUAGUUUUUUCCGGACAGAGAAAGAAGAGAAAUCAGUAUUGUGGCAGAUUAACAUUCUGAAAUCCACAACGAACCGAAUGAUAUAAUGGAUCGUCUCGAAACACAGCAACAUUAAGGCAUAAUCGUUAUCAACCUCAAAUUUGGAGGUGAGAGGAGGAGAUCUAUCUAGAAAAAAGGGCAAUAAACUCACUAGGCAUGGGCGGAGGACCCAGUAGGGCAAGGUAGGGCGCUCGCCCUACCUUGAUUUUUGCCUCAGUUACGAAUUGGGGAAGCUUAUGAAACGGGGAUCUAAAGGGCGGAAUCCGUUCGUGGUGUGAUGGGAGGAGAAACGGUCGGGAGCGAGAGAAUCGAAGGGGAGAUCAACCUGCGGUGGAGGCGCUCGAGCGAGGAGGAAGACGAAGGGGGCUCGGGCGCUCGGCAGCGGGAUGAGUGGCGGCGCUCGCGCGAGGAGGAAGAAGAUCCACGGAGCGAGGGGGCUGUGGGGCUCGGCAAGGAGAUGGGGUAUAGCUUUUUUUUCGAGAGGAGGAGAGGGGGUAUAGGGUUUAGGUGGCCAUCAGGUUGGCCUGGCCCGCCACCGGCCGGUCUAAGGUUAAACGGGCCUGGCCCAGUCGCGGCCCGGUGAAACCCGACUCCUCCAGGCCUAGGCACGGUACCAUAUAGCUGGGCCAACUAUCCAAGGAGUAAAUGAGAAUAACACGAUUACUAAUAAUGUUUAAAAAUACAUGGAUGAAAAAUGACAAACUCGUGUUAGAUGUGGUAACCCUUGCAUCAAGUUAAGACAACUUAUUAAAUCGUUGUUAGAUGUACAUUUGUUUGGUCCUUUAGAAUUUGUAUUUGCGUCUCUGUAUAAAAUAAAUAUGCAAAAUUUCAACUAAUUUAACUCUGAAUCAUUAGAGACAACGAUGACGAUGACUUGUGCAUUUUUUACGAGGUCUAAGAAAGACGUUGUAGGAGGCAGUGAUGACGGGUCAAUUGUCGCCUACAUCGGUGGCCAAGCUUCGGUGGGGAAGAAGAAAACCCACCCUUCGCCACAUCAGCAGACCCGUCAGCCCUUAAAUGUGGGCCGGACUUGUCAAUUUGGCUGUUAAGAGGGGCAAACGAUCAGAUUUGGAAGGACGGGGGUAAUUUUUUUUAGGAAAGGACGGGGUAAUUAGGGCAGGCGGCUGUGGUUUUCAGAUAAAAUUCUCAAAAGUUAUGGUUAAGUGAUAAAAAAGACGUAAUGGAGUUUCUCGUAAAGAUAAGACGGAUUACCUUCGUUGGCAGCGAUUCACACUUUCGCAGCCGCCGCUUUGUCGGUCCGCCAAACAGCCUAGCCCUAGAACAACCCCCACCCCCCCGCCGACGCCUCCCUCCCUGCUCAACAUCCCUCCAUCAGACAAAGAUCUGCGUUCUCCGACCAUCAAUCCUCCUGCGUUCUUUCGGGCCUCGGCGGAUCUACGCCCUCUUUGUCGGCGGCCACCUUACCUGGCAGUUCUCCCUAGCCCUGGUGAGAUUAUUGUCCUUUUUUUUUCUAGAUAGAUCUCCUCCUCACCGCCAAAUUUAAGGUUGAUAACGAUUAUGCCUUGAUGUUGCUGUGUUUUGAGACGAUCCUUCGUCUCAUUCGGUUUGUUGUGGAUUUCAGAAUGUUAAUCUGCCAAAAUACUGAUUUCUCUUCUUUCUCUGUCUGGAAAAAAACUAAGCAGAUCAGGUAGGGCACGAAUUCGGCAGGACUGAAUUUUGUUAAGCAGAACAGUUUGGCAGAUAAUUCAGAAAAAAGAUCCGAAGAUGUGCUCCAUGAUUCGAAGAUUUGUCCAUCUGAUUGUCCACGAACUCAAGAGUGGUCCUGGUGGCUACAGCCUCCGCAACAUUGAUAUGAAACCCCUCUUUGCGGGUAUUGGUGAUGGCAACACCAGUAUGCAAGUAACUCCACUGCCACGGGCAGCUGCCCUCUUUGAGUCUGCCAGCAAGAACCACACGGAGUUUUUUCUCCUGGGCAGCAAAAUUGUCAGUGUCAACGAGAACCGGCACACGAUCCUGUUCGACACCUUGACCUCUGGCGCAUUAGCGGGGCCACACCUGCGGCAUGGUAAGUUACUCCAACCUGCCUGGGCAGCUAUUGGAGGCAAGCUUUACCUUACUAGCAUGUUCCCAGAGAACCACGGCACGCCGUGUUUUGAGGCCCUGCGUUACGACAACGAGCUUGAAGAUUGGUUGUGGGAUCUGCUCCCCUCGCCGUCAUUGUUUGAUAUGCCAUUUGGGGAUGGAAGCAUCAUACAUUGUUUCGCAUCUGGGCAUGACAAGAACAUUUGGAUAUCAACAUUGGGCAAUGGCACUCACAUCUUUGAUACUACUACAACUACCACAUGGCACAAGGUAGGUGGCUGGGCAUUGCCGUUCGAGGGUCGAGUGCAGUAUGUACCCGAGUACCGCCAAUGUUUUGGAUUCUCAGAAAGAUCAAGCAAGCUGUGCUCCGCAGACCUGAUCUUUGGCUCUAGGAUCUUAGAGCCCCCGGCAUACCGCAAUGUAUGGGAUGAUGUUGAUGGAUACAUGGGUACGCAGUGGCAUUUGGCUCGCUCUUACCUCACCUAUCUUGGCUGCGGCAAGUUCUGCAUUACGAGGUUCUAUGACACUAGGAAUGAUUGGGAGGAUGAUUACAUUCCUGUAUGCAACGUCGCCGUCAUGACAGCUGUGGAAGUGAGAUGUGAUUCUAACACCGGGCACCUCGAGAUGAUCAAAGGGGCUUCCAGGUGCUACAAGUUCAGCCCCGACACACUGUACGGCUGGGUCCUGUGAGCACUCUUCCUUUAAUUUACAAGAUGGAUAAUUGGUAGUAGUACAGGGGUGAAGCCAGAAAAAAUAGGCAAUGGUUCACCAGUGUUAAAUAAUCGGUUCAAACCAAAUAAUGAUAAGCUUAGCAGCAAUUUAUUACAGUGCUAGAUUAGUAAAAUUUUGUUGGGUUCAGCUGAACCCAACUCUAGCAUGCUAGCUCCGCCCCUGGUAGCAUAUAUCAUGUUCAGUGUAAGACUACAUAUGCGUAUUUGUGUUGAGUUGCAUAAUAUAUCGGGGAAAAACACUUUGGACUUCUGAAAAGCUAUGGAAAAUAAUUUUGGUAGUUCAUGCUACAACAUGUAAACAUUUCAACCUAAGGUCCCGCUUAGUGUUUCGUAAGAUUAUACCCAUGUAAACAAUCACCCUUGUAUUUUUGCCGGUAACGAAUGAAACCGGGGACUCAUGGGUGGAUUAUUUCCAGCUGUUUGGGUACCGAGGUAUCAUAUAUUCGUGUACAGAAAACAUGCCAUGGGCAGCGUAGCACCAGCAGGCGUGGUUGACAGCUAGGGAGGUAAGGAUUUACUGGAGGAGGGCCACAGAUUGGAGCCGGUGGACACCGACGGCAAUUUGGAGCCUGGGGGGCGAUGGCGGCGGCUUGGAUCUCGUGUCGCAACGAUUGGAGCUUGGAGACGGAGGCUCGGGGUGAUGCCACCGCCUCGCGCUGUCGAAUGUCGUUCCGAUGGCGACGCGCGGUUGCUCUUUCAUUCCUCGCCUUGCUCGAUUCUUUUUCCGGACUUUCCAAGGCCUGUAACCUUUUUUCCAGGCGUCCUAAACCGGAUGUAAAAGAAACAAAAACGCCCAGCCAAGCACGUUUUUGGUUGGAGCGGAAUUUUUUUCAGGCUCCGUAUUUUACCUGGUAUGUGUUGAGAAUAGAGAGUAAACGAGAUUGAGACAAAGCAAAUGAUUCAAGCGUGUGUUCUUUAUUGAUGAUUGAGGUAUAUAUAGAAUUACAAGGGUGUCACUAAAAGGUGUCUAUUGGAAGGGAUGUCACCAAAGGAUGGCAGUUACAUAAUAGAGAGAGAGGGAAGGGAUGUGUCCCUUAAGUAUGGAUUACUACAUAUUUAACAUGUGUUAUAUAUAAUUCUAACACUCCGCCUAAUCUUGCUUGUCCUUGCGAUCAUCUUGAAUAAAGAUUCCUCCAAAAAUCCUAUGGAAAAAAUAUGAGGAGAAUGGUGUAUGAUAUGUUGCUAAAACCCCUUUAAAACCCAGCGGGAAAAAUAAGGAGAAAAUGUUACAACAUAUAAUGGUUAUUGGUUCAAUGAUAACUCAUAUGAGAAAAACCUUAAAUAAGGAAAAACCUCAUGAGUUUAGAGAACAAUAUUUAUGACGUGUAUAUUUCCUUCAAAAAACCCGGUGGGAAAAAUUAAGAAAUAUGACAUCAAUAUGUCUUGUAUACUUCCUUAAAAAACCUCAAUGGGGAAAAUAGGAGUUAUGACUUAUGUCUUCUGUUGAUAUUACCUCAUUAAAAAUCUUGAUGAGAACUGUAAAGUAAACUCAUAAAGGGAAAAAGAGUGUAACAUAAUGUUUGAAUAGGUUAUAACUCAGGAAGAUACUCCCCUGAGGUUUGUGAGGAUAAAACAAUCUGGGGGCAAUAUGAAUAGUGAUAUUGCUCUUUAUAUAACCUGUUGCAUCCAUGCAACACAAGCAGCAUUAUCUUUGUAGAUAACGGGUAGUGAUUCAAUGGAACCAAUACCACAUAAUUUGUAUAUGGUUUAUCAUUUUGUGAAGGCAUGUACACAUAUGUGUGAUGUCCCGUAAUAAUUACACAAUGAUUGGUGGGUUCGGCCACUAGAGUGAAGUAUGGACAACUUUCUUGGAUGGCUAUCCUACCAUGUAGGAACACGAAGCCUAUUUUGAUCUAGCUUUGUGAGAUCUAAUAAGUAGCCAGAGUCAGUUUAUCUGAUGAUAUUAGAGUUUUGAUAUCUUUGGUCCAUCUUCUCAUGGUUUAAAUGGGUCUUUCUCUACGUCUAGAGAUCGAAUGACCAUGAGAGAUUGGAUGAAUAAAAUUUGUCCAUGUUAAAAGUUUCCAAUAUUUUCUUGAUAUAGGUAGCUCGGUGUACCAUAAUACUUGAGAGAAGGAGUUUGAGUUGUAGACCCAAGUAAAUUUGAUUUAUCCAUAUCCUUCCUCUCAAAUUCCGUCUUUAGGUGAUUAUGUGUUUCAUCAACUUUCUUUAUGUAUAUACACUUGGACAAUCAUUAUUGUUUGAGUAAUCCUUUAGUGAAAAAAACUCAUUUAGUCAGCCGUACCAAUUUGCCGGACUAUGUUGAUAAGCCAUAUAGUGACUUAUUAAGGUUUUACACUAUUCAUGUUGUGUAUUUCGUGUGUAUUCGGAAAUUGGGAUUCCUUGAGGAACCUAUAUGUCCAAAUCAAGUGACUCAUAAAGAUAUUUUGUCACUACGUCUAUCAACUGCAUAAAUAGACGAUUUAGAACUGCCAUUGAAAUAUGUUAUCGGAAAAUGAUUCCACGCAUAUAUGGAGAAUUGGUUUCGGGUAUCUGCGUGAACCCUUGUGCUACAAGCCUCGCUUUGAGUCUUAUCACCUCGUUAUUUUCAUUCCAGUUUCGGAAGAAAUUUGGUAUUUGUAAAUAGACAGUAUACUAGCCAUAAAUAACUCCCUUGACAGGGACUUGAGGUAUUUGUAAGUGACAAAAAUACAGUUAUUACUCACAUAGAUCCCGAAUCUAUGAGGGCCCAUCGAUGUACGCUAGGGUGGUGAUAUCGGUAUUUAACCGAAUAAUCGCAGAUGGGAAAUCUUUGGUAGAUGUCCACGUAUAAAUAGGAUAGGAGAAUUAUUACGAUAUGCAGUUGUUCACUUAUGAAUUAAGUCAGCAGCGUGUAAAACUGCGUGACCCAACAUAAGGUUGGUAAGUUGCAAUUCAUUAGUAAAAAUCAUGUGUAAUGAGCUAUAUCCUUUGAUCAGAUAUUCAAAAUCAAACCAUUUUGAGUUUGGACAUGCGGGACAUAGUGUUGAGCUUCAACCCCCCAAAACCAUGCAAUAAUCAUUGAAAGCAUGUGAGGAAAAUUCUGCAACAAUGUCAAUUUGAAUUGAUUUAAUUCGAUAUUUAGCAUUAUGAGCUUGUAGUUUACUACAUUGGCUCAUUAUUUAGCACAUACAUGGUUUCGUGUGGACAGAAGACUCACGUGAGACAUCGUGUAGAUGAACUUAUUGAACCAUGAAAUACAGGAAAAGUCCAGACCAUGAUUGUAUGCAACCACAAUUAUCACUUUGAAUGUGUUCAAGGAAUUUGAGUGGUUUUGCUAGUAUUUUGAGAUAGGAAGGUCCCAAAGUUAGCUUUUAUGUAGCACAAAAUAGUGCAUAUGGAAUAUGAAUAUGAAUAUGAAUAUUGAGGAAAUUUAGCAGUAUUUAAACCAUGACCAAUGGAAUUGCUAGUAAUUUUCCACGUCAUCCCUAAUCCAGGAUGACAAUGGCGACUAUGCCACAUUUGGAAUGUAGUGACAUUCCGAAAAAUUACCUUAUACGCAACAUUUGCUACGGGUGUGGUGACUCCCGUAGAAAUCUAUAUAUGGAAAUGUAGAAUUUUCGGUAUGAAAAUAAUCUUAUUUGGAUAUAUAGAAUACAUACAAAUUUAUUUGUAUCAAUGUGCUGAUACACUAUAUUGUGAUACACAAUAUAGAAUGACAACAACAGACAUAUGUGUAUGUGUUAUUACAACAGAGAUAUAAUAUCUAUGGAGUGAUGGGACUAUUUAAAGUCACCAAACAUGUUACUCGAGUUAAACUCGAUUGUCAUAUUCUCCGUGCCCAUAGGAUUGACCGCCGCAAUGCCUCAUUGUUGUUUUGUUCUAGGAGAACAUCUUGCGGACAAUCAGUUUUCUUGAUGCUGUCAACGUGGAACGUGGAUAUUGAAGUGAUCUUCAAAUCUUUGACCUUGGGCAUGUCGGUUGUCCUAGGAUUGUUGAUACAGAUUGACCAGAUGUUGUGGGAUAUGUCAUGUGUUUUGGUGAUAUGCGUGUAGCAUACACACUUUGGACAAAGGCUUGUUUUAACAUAGACUUUGCGAUGUCUUUUCCACGAUCUGAAGCAUGUGGAUAUUUCUAUCCAGUAAGUAUUCAGACUUGAGAUCUGGAGGAGUAUGGUACAAAGCACCAUAUUUUUGUAUUUUUGUUAGUUGGGCAUCACCUCUUGAAGAGGUUGGAAUAUACCCACAAUCUCAUGGGAUGCAAUGUAGACCUUUUAUGUCCAUUAUACAUGUAGGAUAGUUGUGACCGUUGAGCGCAAGCUCAUCGAAUUGUAUUUUUUCGGUCAUCUUGACCUAUAUGUAUUGAAACCAGAGAUUUGAUUAAUUUACUGUGAGUAAAUUAGAUAUCAUCAUGGUUACGUUGUAAUAACAUUUGCAAAAAUUGAAAGUUCAAGUGAAGACUUGAAUAAUAUAAUGUGGACGUCAAAUUAUUAAUAUAACACUUUGAAGAUUAUCACUAGAAAGUGAUUCGGAUCUCUCAGCAAUACGCAAAAUUUCGCUGCUUUCAAUAAGGUGUAUGUUCCCACGAAACAUUCAACGCCAUUUAUCAUUUUACCGUUAUUAAAAGUCUAUAAGUACCUAGUGUUAUAUGUAAUUUAAAUAUUCAAAAGAGCACAUUGAAGGUAGUUAUUGUGUCAAUUUCUGACAUAACGUAAACCUCUCAGCAGUACGCGAAAAAUUCGCUGCUUUCAAUAAGGUGUAUGUUCACACGGAACAUUCAACACCAUUUAGCAUUUUACCGUUAUUGAAAGUCUGUAGUACCUUGUGAUCUCAAAUAUAAAUCUGAGGUAAUCAUCUUUCAAAUUGCAAAUAAUCAAAUAUUUAAUUAAGCGAAUUGAGCUUUUAAACAUCUUGGGCUUAAUAUAAGCGGAUAAUAUAUAGAUUUGCAAGAAAAAUGGAAUUCUUGAUUGCAAAUAUGUCAUUGUACCAACAUUCAUGUUGUAGGAAUUACUGAAAGCAAAUACAUUUGAACAUGAACAUAUUUACAUUUGUAGAUAUCUGGAACUUCAUAGAAAUUCAAUAGAACAGUACAGGAACGCAAAUAAAAUAAAUUCAGGGUCCUCAACAUGAUAGGUAUUGUACUGUUUGUUGGACCUGUCCGCAAUUGUCCGUGUAAACCGGGUUCAAUUUGCAAACUAAGUAAGCCUGUAGGCCUGCAGAAAAAUAUAGGGAUGGCGGCAGAGUUAUGAUGAAUCCAGAGGACUAAAUAAAAAACUGCCUAGAAAUCCCCAUCCAUCCCAUCGGUUGGGAUUCACCCCAAAACUGCCGCCGCCAAAUAGGCAAUGCGCUGCCACCGAAGAUGGAGGACAGGAAGGGGGCUAGGGGCUUGUUGCCGGAGGGAGGGGCUCGGCGUUGGCGCUUUGGAGCGAGGCAUGUAGCAGGACGGCCGUGGGACGCCGCGCUCGAGGUCCUCUCGGGGAGGAGGCAGUGGCAGAGUGCUGCCACUGGAGGUUGCGCCGUCGGCCUCUGCGAGUUGGUCGUUGCCGCGUGAAGCCAAGCUGCCAAGGCGCUGAGUAGCGGCACUGUACGUCGCCGCCGGUCGUUGUAAAGGGUGGUCGUGGAUCAACAUUGAACUGCCUGCGCUUGGUGAAGCGGGGUUGUGCCCAGGGCCACGUCGGGACAGAUGUCGCCUAGCGCUGUCUCCGGCGCGAGGGCUGGAGAGCCAGGUGCCCCGCUGAAGACGACGUGGCCAUCGGUGUGCUGUGUGCAUCGAUGACGACCGAAAAUGAGGAAGAUGCAGUGGGUGCAGAAAGAAGGGUAGCAUUCAUGGCCAGGGGUUACCACAGAUCGGGAGAAAAAGAGUGAGAAACAACUUGAUUUCUCAUCCUUCUGUGUCCUUGAUCUUCUCUAAUUUGAUUUAUCCAUCGAUUUUCAGAAUAUUUUUGUAGAUCAGUUUCUUCCUCUUCACUGUUGUUGAUCUUCUUCUCUUGGUUCUCCGUUCCGAUAGCUAGGCACGAAGGAAAAUGAUGAGAUGCAUUAGAAGCAAUGCAAUGAUUAAUUCGUUAGUUGUAGUGAAGAAAUUUAUCAAUAGGAUCGCAUGUAUGCAGGAAUCAGCAUCAUGAUUGUUCUUCCAAUCCAUCGAUGCAUGUUUAUUCUUCAGGUGUAGAUUUCUUCGCUGGAUUGAUUUAGAGAUCCGUUGCUUCUGAUCUAUCUUCUUUGUGAAAGCAUGUGUGCGUGUGCUCUACGCAUGAUCGAUCUUAGAUCGAUUUCUUCUUCGCCUGGCAUGUACAGAGGCCUUCCGUGAUACUACUUCUGCUUGUUAGGCCAAUUGAUCCGUACUAGUAAGUCCGCACACGCGUCCCUCUAAAAUUCAAAACAUUUCUCUCAAAUCUCAUUUCUCUUCAAAUAAAUUACUCAUAAGACAUUCAUAUCGAACGUGUUUUAUCUACUAAGAUGCGAAAACACCAACUUCAUCUCACCACUCCUCUUUAUUGUUUCUUUAUCUCUUCGGUCUACUCUUUCAGAAAAAAUACCCUCCUUCUGAAAUAACAUAGCAACUCUCAGAUGCACGUUCUCCUGAUUUUUAACACUCAUUUGACUACUGGUCCAUAGGGACUUACGUUAGAAUAUUAUAUGAACAUGGGACUUCUGUUCUAAAUGAGGGCAAAAGAUAAAAAGAAUAUCAUUAAUUCACAUGCUAACCUUAUUGUUAGCUAUGAUCCCAAAUUAUGUCUUAAAUUUUGGAGGGAGGUAAACCAGAUUUAUGUUGGCUUUUCCACACUUUACCUUUUUGUUUAGUUGAUUUAUCUUCUUGUUGAGUUGUAUAAGAUGCAAAAUAGCGCCAGCCGUAAACUGAUCUGAAUCGUAUUGAACAUGCGCUGCCUGCAUGUAUGCUUUUACUACAAGUGCUUUGACACAUCUCUGACUGGGGGUGGGGGGGAGGAUUUGAUCUUCAGGACGGCAACAUUUACCUGGAUGGUCAAUCUACUCGUCUGCUGAAAUCUAUUGACCUGGAUGCUUGUUGUGAACUGUAUCAGCAUAGCAAGAUGGUACUCCACAUGGUGCAUGACAGUCAUUUGGAAUGGCAUAACUGAGAGUACCUGUGUAGUAAAGUCCCCGUGUUAUAUAUUUUGCUCCCUUUCCUGUGCGCCCACACUAGCACUUCCACGUAAUAACUCCACUAGAGGCGAUCCUAUUACCGGAAUCGCAUCAGAUACACCUGUCACAAUUUUGACUGCCCAAUAACCAAUUUGAUCCCAAGGCAAAGAAUAACCCGUUACAUCAAACGAUGCAGUCAAAACAGCCAAAACCACACCUGUGACCCAAGUUAAUUCGCAGGGGUUUUUAAAUCCACCUGUGAGAUACACACGAAAUACAUGUAGGAUCAUCAUUAGAACCAUCAUACUUGCUGACCAUCGAUGAACUAAUCGGAUUAACCAACCAAAGUUGGCCUCGGUCAUUAUGUAUUGAACCGAGGAAAAAGCCUCUGUAACAGUUGGGCGAUAGUAAAAAGUCAUAGCAAAACCGGUAGCGACUUGUACUAGAAAGCAAGCAAGUGUAAUUCCCCCUAAACAAUAAAAUAUGUUGACACGAGGAGGAACAUAUUUAUUAGUUAUAUCAUCUAAUUAUCUGUAUGAUGAACUCAGUCCACAAGGUGCAUGACAAAUCUCUACCCUGUUAUGCCACUCCCAACCUCUCAGCCCUUAUCAAUCACAAGAAGCCUCGUCAAUUGAAUUCCACCUGAAAGACGGAAAUCUCAAGAGUUCCCAGAGGCUGAAGAAAUAUAUACCUGACUGCAGCAGUCUUGAUAAAUCAAAGCUGGCUGCAAGAGCUAACCGAAGAACAUACAUGAGAGCAAACUCAUAGUAGUAGUAGCACUCACGGGGCUUCUGGGAGCACUCAGGCGAGGUGAGCAGAGCUGGAGGGAAAGGGACUUAAUCAGUGAAUAUUGCAUGUUGCAUCUAAUGGCCAAACUUGGUAUGCAGGAUAGUCAGAUCUCCAUUUCUAAAUCCUUGAAAAUUUAAAUGACACGAGCUUUGCAGGACAGGAAACUGGGCAACGUAAAAUGAAAAUGAAAUUUAAAGGUAACUCCAUCGAUCCAAGCAAAUAGAGUAUGUGUUAGACAAAAAACUGAAAGAGUUGAAUGAAUCGGGAGGCAGGCGCCAUGGUCGCACGCUGAGAUCCCAACUGCCGAUGACUAUGGCUGUGGCGGCUGGCGCCAUCGACGGGAGCUCCUUCGGUGGACUACCUUCCCCGUCGUCUCCAUGCCCUGAAGGAAGAUCGCAGCGACCGUGGCUGGCCGUUUCCAUGCCCAGGAAGAUCGCAGCGACCUUGGUGGGCGGUGGUUCCAGUGGGCGGCAUGCAGAGGGACGCCCGGGAAGAUUUCAAUCGGCGGUGUGACGAUUCCCAACCUCGAAGUCAGGCUGAGGGCUGGGAGCAUGUAUUCCCAAGGCGGCUUUGCGGCGCAGCUUUUUCGCGGCCGGAUCACGGCGUGGCGGCUGCUGACGGCUAGACCGCUGCGCGGUGGCAGAGGACGGUUAUCUUGCGGCGCGGGCGGCGGCGAUGGAGGCGGAUGCGGGGGGAGGAGUGCGGAUGCUGGCAGGAAGCCAGGAAACCAGAAGGCGGCGGCGAGGGCCGAGGGAGAAGUUUUUUUUAGCAGAGGGAGACGGGUUUGGGGCAACAGGUACUGGACGUGUAGGAUGGGCGUGAUUAGCGGGCGGAGAACGAAACGACGUGGAGCGUCAGAUCAAUAGGUUUGGACGGUGUAGAUUUGGUUUUCUUGCAAGUUUGUGCUUUUAUAAGUAGUAGAGAUGGAGAGCAACGUGCCUGAUAAUGUGUUGAGAAUAGAGAGUAAACAAGAUUGAGACAAAGCAAAUGAUUCAAGCGUGUGUUCUUUAUUGAUGAUUGAGGUAUAUAUAGAGUUACAAGGGGUGUCACCAAAAAAUAUAUAUUGGAAGGGAUGCCACCAAAAAAUAGCAGUUACAUAAUAUAUGUAGAGGGAGAAAGGAUGUAUCACUUAAGCAUGGAUUUUUACAUAUUUAACAUGUGUUGAAUAUAAUUCUAACAGUAUGGAUCCUGAAAACUGGAUUCCAAGCAGGACAUAAAGGCAUAAAAUAUGACAUACACAAGGAGAACAAGAGAUUGCAAUAUUUAUUGCGUAACUCUUGUACUUUAGUUGAGGUCCCAAUUUUUAAUGAAAUUUGAAGGUUCACAUUUUUAUAACAUGGAGUACAUGUACUGAUAUUUGCUUCUCGGAAGUGCCUCUGCUGCUAAUUUGAGCCUUACGUUCGCGACAUUUUUCCAUACUUUGGUGAUUGGUUUUUCAGAUUGAGAAACAGGUAAUAACAAGCAAUACAUAAACUUGAAACACGCGAGCAAUUUCAUACAAGAACUUGAAAAAUGGGGUCAAGUGGUCCAAAACUUGCAUUGCAGAUUCACUUUAAAUCAGAUGCGCUCCGGAGCUGCCAGCGUGGCGACAUAGCGUGCUGAGGGCUAUUUUUUACAUAAACCCUUCGUUUCCCCUAUGGUCUAGCAAAAAAUGGCGUAGCAUGCCGAGGGCUAUUUUUUUACAAAAACCCUUCAUUUCCCCUAUGGUCUUGCAAAAAAAACACCUUCUUCUUCUUCUCUCUCGAAAUCCAUGUGGUUUAACCCUAAAUUGACGAAUACCAGAAGCGAGGAGGGAGAGGGCGGCCUCUGAGAGAGGCCAUAGCAACCUAUACCUAACGAAGAGGAGGGGACAUGAAACCAAAAGGGAAAGACGGCUAUACACUAGCAGUAGCAGAGCAAGAGUAGACCAUGCAUGUGCCAUGAUCGAGGGCGCCACGUACGGACGGAUCACGGAACGGCUAGCUGAUGACGAAGCACGGGAGCACGGCCAGGGGGACGGGGUUGAACAACGGCAGCUGAUCCGCGUCGCCCUCUCCCCGUCUUCCCCGCCGGCGCCACGGGCACCAUGGAGUCUUAGGCCACGUUGUCGUCAUCGCCGCCCGAUCGACGCGUCACCUCGGACGACGCGGCACACGAGCAUGGCGCGGCGCACCUGUAGGAAGGCGAACUCGCGCUCCACUUCCUCGGGCAGCGACGCAUGCGCGGCGGCCCUUCAGUAUUGGAGUAGAUAAUGACCUGCAUUACCAUAGGCUGAUGCUGAACUAAAAAAAUGUCAAAACGAAAACCUAAUAAGCUACUCCUUCCUUUUAUCAAUAAAUGGUGUAUUAGGUUUAGUAAAGACAAGAUUUUGACUAAAAAUUAUUUUGUUAACAUGUGAUAUUUGUGACAUGAACUUCAUAUCGCUAAAUUCUUCUGAAAAAGUACUGACUGAUAAUUUGUUGGUCAAUUAUAAUCAUAUACUAAUGAAGUAAUUCUUGAUCAAAGACUUGUGUUAACAAAAUCUAACACGGCCAGGUGUUGAGAAAAGGAUGGAAUACAUGUAUCAUGUCUUUCUUUGUUUGCUCGCUUGUUUCUUUUGUUUUUGAUUUUUUUUUCUACAUCAAGGAAAUUUCAGCUCGAGAAGAAAACAUGACGCUUACAAAGUUCUUCAUGCAAUGAGAUAAUCGUAAUUCCAGUGCAUAAAGCCUGCAAGUUCAGAGCUAUCUCUUUCUUUGUAUAAUUCUAGGCAUUAUCCGAUACAUCUUCUUGACACAAUCACUCUACCAACUAAAUAGUACCGGUGUUCUAUAAAACGUAUACUUUUACUAAACUAACAUGAUGUUGCAAAUACUGUUCUGCUGGCUGUGUUUACUACUCCCUCCGUCUCAUAAGUGACUCAAAUUUAUCCAAAUAUGAAUGUAUCUUUGCCUAAAAACAUCUAGAUACAUGUAAUAGAAAGUCACUUAAUAUGGGACGGAGGGAGUAUAUGAAACAAAGAGUUAUAUAUGAACAAAAACUCCUUUGGAAGUCAGUGCACUUCUGUUAUGAUGUUACACAAAAAUUAGUCCCAGUUCAAUAGUCCACACCAACUUUUUUUCAAGCAUAAGCAUCCUGACAAACACCUUGCAUAUACUUUGUUCAGAAAUAGCAAUGCAUAUUUGAGAAUAUUCUGAAAUACUCUGGAUAAUUGGAGAGUGUUGGGAAUUAGUUAUGCAUAUUUGAGAAGAUUCUAGAAUACUUUGGAUAAUUGAAGGAGAAGAUAUUUACAAGUAGCCUUCUAGUGAAUAUGAGAAGAUUGGAAUAAUCUAAAAAACUUGAGAGGUUGCUUGAAGAGGGUUGUUAUUUACCAUGGAAAGGUCUUAGAGUAACUUUCAAGAAUAAAUGGGAAUUUUCUAGAACUAAGUACAUGUAGAGUAUUCUAGAGAAUUGUAGUAAGAUGUACCACGUGCUCUUGUAAAACUAUAAAUAGGGGUGAUCCCCCUCCCCAUGAGUUGUACCACAAGCACCACAACAAGUAUUGUACCACACUAAGAAAAGUGUGAGCUACCAAGAAAGAGUAGUAUGGUUGUGUACUAAUAAGGUAGCCACUAAAUUAAGGAGUGUUGCAUCAAUAUUAUGAGAGUAAAUAAAGUUUUGGAUUCCCUUCUGGUGAGUGUGGUAUCCCAAGUAGCGUAGGUGUGCAAAGGUCCUAAGAGUGGGUGUUCGGGUCCCCGCCCAUAAAAUCUCUACAUACUUGAAUUUCAGCAAGUCAACAUGAAAACUCAAAAGCCAAUGUAGAGGACAAGCAUACUUGACCAACAAAAGAUUGUAAGGCAAAUGAACCUAUUCUGGCAACAAAAUAAAGGUCGCAAUUCACACGAUAAGGUUGAAGCUGAAUUUAAGCUUUAAAGAGGAAAACACCUAUAUGAUCUGCUGCUUGAUUAGUCCACUGGUAGGCUAUCUCUGGCCAGGUAAAAAAGAGAAAAUACAACUCGACCAUGGAACAGGCUGGUUUCAGCUUCUCGUCAGAUACUACCUAAUUUAUGUACCUCAAAACUUCACUGUACGUAUUACAAGACCAGACAGACCUCAUUUUAGCAGCGCGGCAGCUGCUACUGGCGACUGCAUCUUUAUCCUUGUGACCUGCCGAUCUGCAGUACUCUGCGGAAGCAACGAAUCAAGUUGUGUCAGGUCAUGCCUGCCCACAAUGAACAAUCUAAACUGCAGCUCUGUUGGGAACUCUGGAAGGUCGGAGUCAAAAAUAUCCUCGAACAUUUCUUGAGUAUAUAGGACUUCUCUUGUCACUGGGUCGACACUGUCAUCCAUCUUAUGGUAACUCAAACCUCUGUAACACUGCACUAGAAUUUCAGACCAACUUGAGAAUCAGAAACGACCAUUGAUGAGUGAAGCCAACAACGUGUUUUUUGACAUGAUGGCAUACCAUGAAUACCUGUAUGAAAGGAACGAUAGAAGGGUUUAGUACUGAGAUUCGUCCUGUAGCCUAAGGGUGCGUUUGGUUCUGCUUUGCUUUUGGAGAAAGCUGCUUUGCUUUUUCUGCUGUGGAAAAGCUGCUUUGCUUUUUCUGCUAUGAAAAAGCAGGAAGCGUGUUUGGUUGGAACAACUGCUUUUGCUUUUGUAAUUACCUGAAGACUUUUUAUAUGUGAAUUGAUCGUAAAUUUAUGAUCUUUGCAUUGAUUGUGACGACGAAGAAAAAAAUAAUUUUGAUUCUAAUGAUUCUUAUGUUUACAACAAAAUGUAUGACAUUUGCCUCAUCCCAAACUGCCUUCUCACUCGUACUUCAGUAAAAAAAAAGUUUAGGACAGCAUUACUUCUCAUCAACAAUGGAGCCAUCGAACAAAAAUAGCCUGCUAUAUGUUUGCAUGUUCUGUACAAUAGCAAUUAACAUUGCUUUGAUUUGCUCUGUACAAUAUCGCAAUUAACAAGACAAUCCACCAAAAAUAUGAACAGGAGCUGCCUUUUGAGGGGCGGUGGCGGCGUCUGAGGUCGCGCCGGCGCCGUAGAUGCUGCAGGGGAGGCUGUGCGAGGAGGGGAGGAAGCUUCGGGGCGGCCUGGGACGGGCGGGCCGGGGUCGGUGGGCAGCAGGGGCAGGACGCCACCGGUAGGGAGCAGGGGCGGGCCGCCGCCGGGGCUGGACGGGGACGGGCGGAGCGGGGUGGGGCUGGACGGGGGCAGGCUGCCAGGGAACGAAAUCGGGGCGGGGCUGGCCGGAGUUGAAGCGCCGCAGGUAGGGCCACGCCGCCGGUGGGCUGGGUUCCUCCCGGUCAGACGAGCUCGAUGGGGAAGAUGGCGAAAGCUCUAUGUGUCCUGGUUUGGCUCCGAUGAACGAAACGUUUUCACUUAUGGGUGGCAAAGGUGGAUAAAUAACUCCAAGUUGGCAAACAAAAGCAACCAAAAAUAUCUCUGGACCUACUUUGAGAAUUGUACUACGAAAAGCAGAUUGUUUUUUUGCUUUUUGCUUUGGAAAAUAACCCUUUGGUUAGCUUUUUUUAGAUUUUUGGAAGCAGAAAAGCACCCUAACCAAACGCACCCUAAGAGCAUGCAAUGAAUCAUAUAGUCGCAUGAAAGAAGCCGUCUUGUUAACCUGGCGCAGUAAUCCAACAUGUGACUUCAUGUAAGUUACAGAAGUCAAAGGUUGAGUCCUCAUUAUCAUAAGGAGAUGCUUCAUGCUAUAUGGCAACUCUCUGCCCUCAAACAAGGUAUCACUGAUAAUGCCCACCAGCUUCACCCAAUUUGCAGUCCUUCUGUCAUCAUUUGCAAGAAUAAGUCUUAUGUCUGCUGAGAAUUUUGCGAUGCCAUCACAAAUCACGACCUUGCUGUCAUCAAGUUCUUCGAUGCACAAACCCUGGCUGUACAGACAAUAAAAGUCAAUGAAUGGUGUGACAAAGAAUAUAAGAUCAGAAGUGAAUAUGGAAAACCAUCACGACUCGCCACAUUAAUAUAAUCCAGACAAUGGAUACAUAGUUCUAACCUGUGGAACUCAUCUAGUGAAUCCAUUAGUGAGCUUAUGUGCCCCUUAGCAAUGUCUUUCACGAACCAUUCGCUUUUCCCACUCGGAUCACCAUAGAUUGCUCUAAAUUCCAUCAUAGUGUUUUGGCUUACAUAUUGCAGCAAGGGUGUGGAAUUUAUUCGAAGUACGCAACCUCUGUAAAGGAAAGUACCCAUUGCAAUAUGCCUGUGCCAAUCAAAAUCCUGCAGAAAACCACUACGGAAUUAGGUGACUGCUUAUCAUACAGAAAUGGAGAGAAUAGUUCAAAAAUUGAAACAUAAGGAAUAAGCCACCUACCGUGGGCAAGUAAAUCACUUCCAGAUUUGAAUCAUCAUCAUUUGCAGCAAUUUCAGCCUCACUCAUCACAGCUACUGCCCCUGCCUGUGGAACAGGUUGUACACCAUCUGUGUCUGCACAGUACCACCCUGAAAAUGCGAUUGAACCAAAUAGAGCAUCAGUUUGUUGAUUCAAGAUAAGUACAGCAAAAACUUGCGGCAUAUCUUGAUACUGCAGUCAGAAGAUAAGGAUGCAUAAACAACAAGCCAGGCCCACAAGAAUACAGCAAUUAGUCUAGCUAAAAAGAACAAGUAGAUUGUUCAACUGAUCUUCUUAAAACAGAACAAUGCUUAAUUUCAGUUCCAUUAUCCAAUAACUAUAAUCAUGUAUUUGGAGAAACUAUUAGCAUCAAUGAGACACAUAAACUGAGCAUGUCACUUGUAAAUGCUAUCAGGUGCCAGCAACACGUAACUCAGUAGGCCUUAAAACAACACAAAAACAAUUCAUAUUUGUUCACCAAUACAACAGACCUACACAAGCCAGAGACUCACUCUUCUGAGCAUACUCGCUACAAAAUUCCUACAGUGUAUCAAGUCUGCUUCAAGGUUGUGUCGAAACUACACACUCAAAUAAGCAUAACUGGAUAGGCCCAAAAGUUCAAAAUCACAACAACGUUAAUAGUCCAGUUUAAGCGGAAACUUACUGAUUAGAAACUUCCCCUUCAUUGGAGUAGGCCAUCUGCUCAUCCUGGGCAAGCAAAGCGGAUAGGUCGUCUUUGACAACUAAAAAGACCACAAUUGAGUAGUCUCAGUUUUGCAGAACUUAAAUUUCAGGGUAAAAUGAUGACUUGUCAUAAUUUUAAAUGCAGAAGUGAAUGAAUCACUUACAUGAGGUGACAUGAUUGGCCCUCUCAAUGGAACAUUAGAGAGCUUACUGUGGUGGGGGGAAUCAUUCACCUGAAACCCAUUAUCCCUGAUAACCUGUUCUGACUUUGCACAAGUGUACUGGUCCUUGAUGACCAUAUCAUGACUGUACAGAUAAUCAAAAGCUGAGUAGUGCGCCACAGAAUGUAAAGUCAAAAGUGAACUUGGAAUGGUACUCAAAACAACAAUGUUCAUUUUACAGUAAUUGGUAACUGGGUUCAAAACUUCAAAUCCUUCAGUUUCUUAUAACCUAGUAUUGUUCAUGAAAAAAAAUUCUGAUAAAAAUGUUGAAAACUCAGUAGUAGUAAUGUAAAAUUUUACCACUGCAUGACAGGGUGGACACAGCAGCGCGAGUAGUUUCUUUUGAAGCACAUAAUCCCCCAUACAAUGAAGGAAUAACAUCUUCCAUAACUGCAACAAAAGAAACAGGGAAAAUAAUCAAUUCCAAUGAAAAGCCACCAUGUUUUUUGGGUCAAAAAGCCACCAUGUUCUGUGUGUCAAAAAAUUAUUGCACUUGGUUUUAGUUAGUCUAUUUAAACCAACAAGACAAAAUCCUUUCUCCAAUUACAGAAUGAUCUAGCGUCAUCAAACCUUUCUUUCCCACGUUCCCUUCACCACAUGGGCCAUGUCUCACGAAGGUCCCAACAAUUCCAAGAACAUUUUCCAGCCUAUGUGCCGCCCUCCUAACCUUUACACUCUCAUACCGAGCUUUCUUUUUUUGCUAUACCUAACACUACACCAAUGAAUUGGCAUGCAUGCUACCCCCCAAUUAAGUAGUUCUCCUAAAUUAUUCAUUAUCCAAGCACUUAAAAUCAAUGGUUUAAUCCUCAUCCCAAUCAACAUCAUAGAUUUCAAUGCUGGCACCGUACUGAUUCAGCAUACUCAUUAUUUCCAAAUAUUUCCAGAGCGCUCAAUCAUUCAACACAUAAAAAGCAGGGCUGGUUCCAAACAUAUACGUAUAAUAGAAGGAUACAUAUGAUGGAGACGCCGACUAGUAUGCUGAAUCCAGCUGCUACUGGCGAUCCAACGCCCGGGUAGCUGGAAACGGCGCAGAGAACUUUUUAAACUAGGGUUUGAACCGGAAUUAAAAGCGAUCGGAAAUAUAGAACUGCGUGUGUUACCUCAAUCGAUGAUGGCAUGAUAGAUCGAAGAACGAUCCGCACCCAAUCGAGGUCACCCAUCGCAGAAGGGGCGGCCUGCGGCAGCGCAAGCGGGCGGCGGCGCUGCUGGGUGGAUGAUUGCGCGGCGAACGGGGAAUGUGGGGAGGGAAUGGAGUUCGAAAGAAGAAAGGGCCCGAAAAGAAAUGGGGAUAGGAGGGUCGGUUACGGCCGUGGUUCCUUUAUGGAAGUAGUUUUUCGUGCCGAAUUUUCUUUUCUUAUUAUCGAUCGUAUAUCAUAUUAAGGGAGGCCUGGUCUUAGCCGGUGCUCUCCGACGACCCACAAAAGGAAAGCCAGUUUCGCAUUGCUCAAAACGAUUUGCUGCGUCCGCGCGGCCGCAGCUUAGCUCGUACCCAUUAGUAAUUUCAUCGUCCGUCGUAGGUUUCCAGACCCCAUGUGUUGCUCCCGCACCUUAAAAUUAUACGCAUUAGUAAUUUCUUCUUCCGCUGUAGGUCUCCAGCCCCGUGCGUUGCUCCCUUUACAAGCUGCUGCCAUUAUUACAACAUAAAAAUUCUCAAGGAUAUACAGACUUAUGUAAAUUUGUGGGAUGUGGUUAUGUUCCUCUCGUUUCUUACAUCCUUAUAUAAUCCAUAGUUACAUCCAACAAUGAUUUGAAAAUCAAAUCACCGUCUCACUAUAAUCCCAGUAAUUACAACUAAGUACCAAAUUUAAAUCUGACAAUGAUUAGAAAUCAAAUCACCGUCUCCCUAAAAUCCCAGGAAUUACAACUAAGUAUAGCUAAAAUGCCAGGAAUUACAACUAAAAUCCUACGAAUUACAACUAAUUAUAGCUAAGCACGUAGAUUUACACGAACCACUUCAGGUCCAACAAAAGUAGAAACUUAGAUCCAAAAUAAAAGUAACAACUCAAGUUUUAAAACCAUGUCGCAUAGCAACUCCAAUUAGAUCCCAUGCCAUCAGUACUUACUAUUGCAUAUCUCCUCUUGUUUGUCUUCAAAUAAUCAUUGCACAUCCAAAAAUAGAGGUUGAUUCUAAAAAAAAACCCUCUUACCCUGUUAUUAAAAUGGAAAAACAAAAUUGAACAUUAGAAAAUCUCUUGUUCCAAACAAAACCACGGCCGAUGAUAUCAAAGUUAAUGACAGCUAUAUAAGUAGAUGUAACUUUUAAUAAUUACAACUACAUGUAAAAAC